GGGCAAUCUCCAAUCAAUAAACAUCGGAGAGAGGAGAGAUGGUUGCGGAGACCGCUCGAUAGUCUUUCUGUGUUUCUCAAAUCAUAUAUCGAAAGAGAGGUUAGAGAGGAAGGAAAGAGACUCCAAGCAUCCUUAUCCUCCAAAGGAAACCACUCCUUCUCUCCCUCCCCUCCCAUGUUAAACGCAACGGCUAGACUCUCGAGAGAUGUGAGCAUGGGUAAGCCCCACUCUUUCACUGGCUGCUUCAGACCCACGAGCCCCAUAAUUCCAAGGUCUCGCAAUUUGGGAGGCAGACCUCCUUUGGGGAAGGAUUUGAUAUUUUGGCAAUAGAAAAUUGUUAGCUCUUGGAGGGAGGUAAGAUGAUGCCACUUAUUUGGCAGGGACUUUAUCAUCGGACAAGCACUAAGUUUAAGACUCUGCAGGGUGAUGGGAAGGGGUGGGAAGUCCUCUAUCUCCAAUACCGGACACUGCCGUAUUUUCAAUUUAGUGAGAUUGUUACACUUGGCAAUGUUACAGUUGGCAAUAGACUUUAUCUUAGAACAAUGAUUAAGAACAAGACUCGAGAGGGUUACGGGAAGGGGAGGGAAGUCCUCUAUCUCCAGUGCUGGACAAUUAUAAAUAUCCAAUUGAGUGAGAUGGGAGAGCGUGUGAAGGCAUUGUGGUAAGCUUCCCAGAUUUUGACAAUCGUUAAUUGUCAUUGUUUCAAGCGAUUCUACGGCAAUCCCUUCCAACGAUUCCACUCCCUCACAAUUGUCUAUAUGAAGUGCCUUUAGAGGAGCAAGUCUACCCUUGGCAAAUGAAAAGGAUAUUGGAGAAUCAUAAUGAUGUAUCUUAAGAGAUUCAAGUUGAGAAAUCGAAUUAUUGCUACUCAGGUCACCUUGAGGAAUGUUUAGAGCCAUGAUUUUUGGACAAUUCUUAAUCACCAAAUGUUUAAGUGUGUGCAUCUUGCUUGGAAGCUUUUCUAAACUUGUGCAAUUCACCAAUUCCAUCAUUUCAAGAUUACAAGGUAGCUCUAUCUCUCCUUCUCCUACCACAAAAGAUAUGAAUUGAGGACAAUUUUUGAUUACUAAUUCCUGGAGGCAAGUGAGAUUUUGUGUUUCAUCUCCAUCUUGCCACAAGCAUGUUAGUUUGUCACACAGUCCUAUAUGAAGCUUCCUUAGCUUGCCCAAGCAACUCAUAAACCGAUGAUCAAAGGAAACAAGCUCUAUGAGUUUGUUAAUUUUGAGAACUGUCAAAGAAGUUAGCUUGAACAAGCUCUUUAAGAUCUCCUUACUACAAUCCUCAAGGUAUAACUUAUCGAGAGAUGGAAGACAUAACUCACUGGUUGAGUUAUUCAAUUGUUGGCAUGAAUGAAUUUCAAGCUUUAUAAGAUGAUCAAGUUGACAAGGCAAUGUCUCGACCAACAAAGGACAGCUCCGGACAACAAGAUGCUUAAGACAGGAGAAUGGGACUUCUUUUUUUGGGCCCCCCGCAUAAGGAGACCAAUCCUUCCAUGCCAACAUCUCUUCGAACUGCAAAGUAAUUAACGACGAAAAAGGACUAUCACCUCCGUAAAAAUUAGAGCCUAUUAUUCUUACUGCAUUUAGACCUUUAAGAGAUAAUUCUCUCAAUGAAGGUAGUUGUCCAAGUGAAGGCAACAAUGUGACAUAAGGACAGUCCCACAAGCUCAAAGACACUAUCCGAAAAUAGGAUGAACCAUCUAACCAUGAUGGGAAUAUUGCACCGCCAUAGUUCAAAAUAGUGAGAUUUUCAAUAUCAAUGGGAGGUCGCAAAGACUCAAGCACCCAUGAUUCGAGCUUAUCAUUUCGAAGAAUUCCAAAAUCUUUAUCCCAAUCCAAGAAUAAUUUUCUUAGGCCUUGCUUUCCUUCCAAAUUAGCAUCAACAGCAUCUCUAACAUCUUCCACCUUUUGUAAUUUUGAUAUGCAUAAUUCUCCUUGAAGACGUGAUAGGGCCUUUAACUCCUUUAACUUUAGCCAUUUCUCUGUUCCUACCAUAAACUUGGACAAUAUAGUAAGAUUCUUCAAAUUACCGAUACCUAGUGGCAUCUCUUUUAGACUUUGUGUAUCUCUAACAUCAAGAAACUGUAAGCUGACCAACUUUGUGAUACUGUUGGGCAACAUUGAAAGUUUAUGACAAUCUCUUAAGAUCAAAGCUUGUAAUUUGCACAAGUUGCCAAUAGUCUCAGGUAGCCUUUCGAUAUAAGUGUUCGAGAAAUUGAGAUAUCGAAGAUGUUUUAAUUCAUGAACACAAUUUGGUACCUCUACGAUUUUACAAUGACAUAAUGAAAAAACCCUUAGAAACUUCAAGUUUGUUAGCAACUCAUGUAGCACCUUGUCGGAUAUAAGGAGAGAGUUCCCACUAGAUCCAAUACGCACCAAAAUUAAACUUCUUAAUACCUUCAUAUCAUGAUAUGCCCACAAGCAUUUUGAUGUAACAAACCGCGACCAGAUGAAUGAUGCAUAACGAGCUCUCUCCAAAGAUGCAUAAUCUUCAUUAAUUGCCGGUUGAGACUCCCUAGAGCUAAAGCAUAUCCCACCCUCAAUUGACUUUGCUAGAUCAUUCAAAAGAUCAUGCAUUGAAAACUUAGAUGUGUCAACACUUGAUUUUUGAAGAAAUGAUCUUGAUACUAAUUCAUCGAAGUAAUUCCAUCCUAAUUCCAACUUAUUUUUCUUUGUUUUUUGUCCAUCUAAAAAUCCCUCCGCUAUCCAUAAGAGUACUAGCUCAUCCCUCUCAAUUUCGUAAUCCUUAGGAAAUACUGCACAAUAAGAAAAGCAUCUCUUCAAAUAGGAAGGAAGAUGGACGUAGCUCAAUUUCAAAAUAGGGAGAACCUCAUCAUUCUUUGUCGUUGGAAGAUCCCAUAUUAUGUUAUUUAAGGUAUCUUCCCAUUCACUGGGAUUCAUUUUAUGACGUAGGACACCGCUAAACAUCUUCGCUGCCAAAGGUAAACCUUUACAUCUUUUAGCUAUUUUCUUGCCUAUUGUUUCAAAUUCCGGGUGGCUCUUAAAAUUUGUUGCUUCAAGAGCAUGAAAGGCCAAUAAGCUUGUACAAUCAUUGAGGGACAAUUCCUUCAAAGGAAUUGGCGGUGCUUUUGUUACUGAAACAACAGCAUGGUUGCGAGUCGUAAUAAUAAUCUUGCUUCCCCUAGCACCCACUACAAAUGGCUUCAAGAGAUCAGUCCAUUUUUCGUACUUCUCAUUCCAAAUAUCGUCUAGAACCACAAGAAACUUCUUUCCGAAAAGAUUGUCCCUCAACUUAACUUGAAACUCGUUUAGAUCUUUGCCCUCACAGGGCAACCUAGUGAUUGACCGUAAAAUAGUCUUUGUUAUGUCGAGAACAUCAAAAACAUCUGAAACACAAACCCAUGCUCUCAUCUCAAAACAUCUAUUCACUCUUGCAUCAUUAUACAGCUGUUGAGCCAAGGCAGUCUUUCCAAUACCGCCCAUCCCAACUAUGGGGACUAUGCUUAGCGUGGCAUUAGAAUUUUUGACCUCAUUGAUCAAUAGUUCGAGUAUUUGUUCUACAUCCUCCUCCCUACCAAAAAAUUGAGGCUCUGAUAGAGAAGUGGUUAUCCUUUUACUGGUGUAGUUGGAUUUGUCCACAGCAUUCUCUCUCAAGUUUAAAUGAACUUUUCCAGAGACAAUCUCUUCCAACCGGUCAUUGAUCUCUUGUACCUUGGUUUCAGACAUGAGCGAGGGUGGUCGGCCAAAUACAGAGAACUUCCAUUUCCCCAAACAUUUGCUUGUGCUAGAUUCUGCCUCUGACUCAACUUGAGCAGCUUUGAUCUCAAACUCAUCGAGCAAGUCUUCUAUGUCGUAGGCCAAGUCCUUAACCUUGUCCAGCCACAGCUUCACUUGAUGGUUACCACUAAGUUCCUUGUCCUCUACAUCAGCCAACACUGCAUUGAUUAUGACUAGCUUCUCCUUCCACACCUUAGGCAAGGUAGUGCUGAUUCCUUUAUGUUGUGCAUAACCUAAUGUGGAAGAAGCCAACUUGUCGAACAGGACCUGAAAGGAUGAAGCCAAAAAGGAACCCAACACGAUCCCUCCAAUGUCCAUAGGUGAAUCAGUCACUGUAAUGAACAACAAAGGUGUUAUGGUGAAGCAAAGUGAAAAUGAACUAAUGGAGAGAGAAAACUAUGAAGUCCUAGGAACACUGAGAUGAUGACCUACGAAGAAGAUUAUAAAAAAAAAAAAAAAAAGACCAAGACUUUCAAGGGAUGCACAUCAAAAGUUAGACAAAUCAAAAUAAAUACUAUUUGUCCACAAGUGCUAGAUACAUCAAUUACUCUCUUUAUUCUUCGGAUCAAGACUUUUUGGCUAUUGGAUCUUUACUUUUGGCCAUCCAAAACAGAGUCUUAAUAUGACCAACUUAGAGUGUAUGCAUAUUUUUGCCAUAAGUGUUAUCACUCACGAGUGUUUUGUUGACUUCUUUAGCGUUUGUAUAUUCUUAGUAACCUCAUGAUUUCAAUAUAUUUGUUUUCUGCUUUAUUGGUGAAUAUGAGAUUAAUGAAGUCUUUUACAUGGGAGUUUCUAUGCGAAAGAUUCAUAGCAAGAUGGGUGAUAAUGAUUUGUUGAAGUGUGUUGAGGUAGUGGUUGAUAAUCAGGAAUCACCUUGAUAGGAGAAUCGUGAUCCUUUGAACACGAUUAUCAAGUUCAUUAGUGUAAUGGGUAGAGUGUGACAUCCAGUGGAUUAUAUGUUGAUAAUACUGGACUUGUUUACCGUUUACAGAGAAAGCAACUUGCUUGAUGGAUUAGUCGGUGUGCUUAUCCCUUUUUUCUUAUUUAGCGAUGUAUGAAGUUGACCAAGUUAAUAGGAUCAGCAAAUAAGCAUAUUUGUGCAACUUAGUAAAAUAAAUGCUUUUGAAACAUAACAUACUGAGGAUUCGCCCAAUAAUGGCAUCUUAUUUUCUGUUAUACUUAUACAUGUUAUCAAAGACAAUUAACUUUGUCUAUCCACUAAGGAGAAUAGAAACACGUGCUUUAGGCUAAAUAAGGAAAAGGGUCAAGCACACCGACUAAUUAAUUAAGCAACUUGCUUUAUUUUACUCUGCAAAUAAUGAAUAGUCAGAAAUCACCAAAUGACAAUGUAUAAUCUACUGAAAAUUAUACUCUACCAAUGACACCAAUGAACAAGAAAAUCGAGUUCAAAGGACCAUGAUUCUCGCUUCAAGCGAUUCCCCAUCAUCAACUACUAACCCAUCACCUUUCAGCAGAUAUUGCCGCCCAUCUUGCUGCAACUUUUUCUUCUUUUUCUUUUUCUUCACAAGUGCUUGUUCUGUAAUAUUUAGAGAUUAUCCCCAUACAUAUGUAGUAUCCACGAUCAUAUACUUGUUCAUAUAAAAAAAAUCAUAAACUCGGGAAGACCAAAACUUCACUGGGUAUCAUGAACUUUUUUGUCAUGAAAGUGAAGUAUAAAUGAUAAAGAGCUUAUGGGAAAGAAAAUUUAAUAAAAUCGAAGAAGACUAAGACUUACGGAGAUGCAAAUUGGAUUUGUUGCUUCACUUUUCAAAUCCCUCCUCUUCCGUUCCCAUGUGAAUGUCUUUUUUACAUUACUAGUAGUUUUCCACGCGUUACAUCGAUGCCAAUUUUUAUUUUUAUUUGUUUAUGUGUGUGUGAUUGACAAUUAGCAGUGAUUAUUGUUCUCUUGCUCAAAUUGACAAAACUAUAAUUUUAUUCCAACUUUUGUCAUUUUUAAUCAUAUUGUGAUUAAUCAUUCAUUAAUCUCUGUUGUACUUGUCUAUUGGAAUUAUGUCUAGAUUUCCAUUUAUCUUUUCAAAUAUAAGUCUAAUAAAUGGAUAAAUAGCAAGAAGAAAAACUAAAUAAGAAAAACAGCAAAAAACUGAUGAAGAAAAAAAAAAUGCAGGAAUGGGGCGAUAAUACUCUUCGUGACUCAUGGAGAGUUCCACUUCACAUUUUUGUUUUUGUUUUGUUUUUUUAUGAAGAUGCAAUCUAAAUUUAUUAAUAUGCAAGAUAUGAUUUUCCCAAAUUUCCCAAGUUAUAGCAUGUGAUUUAUCAAAGGAAAUGUGCAAAAAAGAGAAUUAACAAUAAUGCACUCCAAAAAGCCUAGAUGCGCAUGAUAAAUGCUUAUCCAUGAAAAUUCUAAGUUUUCUAAUAUAAUUGUCCUGAUACGGAUAUAAUGCAAUUCUAUGCUAAUAUGUAACGAAAAAUCAAAAAAUAAAGGUCUGAGUUUUGGCUGAAAUAAUUAUGCGUGCAGAUGUAUCACCUGAUUAAAACAAAAUUAACAAAUCACCAUUCAUUAUGCAAUCAAGCUGCAACUUUAACCUGACCAGCAAGUAUAUGGCAUCAACUUUGCUAUUAAACUUGCUGCGUCAGUUCAAGGGAAAAAGAGAGCAAGUAGAUAGAUGUCUUUUACCUAUUCCAAGUAGACUUCCUGGAGCUGACCAGGCAAACGAGAUUAGAUCCACAACAGCAAUCCAGCAAGCACGAGCGCUAGGUUUGGCAGUUCACUGUGUACGCGUGCGUAUUCAGCUACGGCAAUGCGUGGUUCGCUGCUUGCAACGACGAACGAUGGUAUUGAUUGAGCGACGACUGGAGAUGGUGGUGAUUGGCGACAAUCGAUAUGCAUGCAAGAAAGAAUUGAAUGAGAGUGGAGUCUGUGGGCGUGAGUUUGAUGAUGAUGGUGGUGGUGGGUGGUGGUGGAUGAAGAAAAAGUGAGGCGGUGCGGUUUUAAAGAAAGAGGCAAGGAGAAUCAAGGAUGAAUUCUGCCGUGUGUGUUUUUCUCUCGGAGGUUCCCAUUUAAUCUUUGCUUUUCUUUUCUUUUUCUUUUUUUUUAUUUGGGGAAUAAAUUCGAACGAACCUAGUCCUAUUUGUCGAAAUUCUGGUAUAGGCUUAUAAAAUGCUUUAAUUCCAAUAAACUUCUUCUUUGGGAGGAAAAUCGGUUCCAGUUUUCCAAAAAUAUAUGAAAACCACUUUUGGGCAGAAGUUAGGUAUUGACAAGUUUUAACAAUUAAAUGAUUAUUCCUAAGCUAUUCAUACUUAUUUUGCGGUAACUCGAGAUUUCUUGCUCUAAUUAGGGCAUGUUUGAUAACGAUUCUGAUUCCGGAAAUAAUUUUUGAUCAGAAAUGGUUUUUUUUUUUUAAUUUCUGUUCCUAAGAACAAUUUCUAAAUACAAGAACGUGCUUGGUAAUUGCACAAAAUUUCCAUUCUUAGGAAAGAAAUGCGUUUGGUGGAAUUGUAUAAUUUUGUUGUUUCUUUUCAUUUUUUAAUAUUUUUAUUAUAUUUUUCCUUUUUUUUCUUCUUCUUUUUUUUUUUUUUUACAAUUCCUCCUUUGUGGCCGGUUGUCAGUGGCCGGCAACUAGCUAGGCAAGGUCCGGCGAGCUCGCCGAAGCCUUGCCAAACCAAGGCGAGGGCCGACGAGCUUGCCGGAGGCUCGCUUGGCCACUGUGAGGCUCGAUCUCACCUUGGCUGGCCGAGCUCAAGCUUGCCCAAAUCUUGUGAGGCUGAGCAUCGCCAUGGCUUGGUGUCGUUGGGGGCUAGCGAUGCUCCAGUGAGAUCGCUGGCCCUCAUUGGCCGGUUGCUGGCCAUGGCCAAGGUUGGCAACCGGCCAAAAGGAAGAAGAAGGAAAUGAAAGAGAAGAAGAGAAAAAAAAAAAUAUUCCCAAGAGCAAGAAGCUAUUUUUUUCUACUUCUUGUUUCUGUUCCAAAUCUAUUCUCGGGAACAAAAAUUUUACCAAACACGUUUCUAUUUUUUUCUGUUCCCUAGAACAAAAGAACAAAAAUAGUUGUUAUGGGGGAAUAGAAACAAUUUUUACCAAACAGGUCCUAAGUUGCUAGAAGAAAGAACCCACCUCGCUAAUAGUAGGCUGACUGACAGUUGACCUACAAAAGCAAGCCCAAAACCCACGAGAUGGCGAGAGAAGGAGAUGAGACGGUUUUGGCGAGACCAAGACAGAGAAGAGACACAACGGCAUCCACGGGAUAGAAAAAAGAGAAAAUUUGAGAGUGCCAUUGGAGAAAGACGAAUGACUAGAGAGACAAAGAGAGAGGGGCCAAAUCUGAGAGUGAGAACUAGAAAAGAAAGCAGAGCUUAAAUAGACAAGAUUUAGGAUUGGUUUUGACCCGGCUCAAAACCAGUUUUCCCCGAGAAUUACCUUUGCAAGGCCGGCUCAUGGGUGUUACAACCAGUUCAUAUUAUGAAACCAAGAAGUGAACCGAUGAAGGCCGAUUCAAAGAAGUUCUAUUUGGAACUAAACUGGCCCCCAUGUGAACGGCCUCAAAAUUAGUCGUGUUCCAUUCAUUUCCCAUAUUGAAUAGGUCCAGUUACUCACCUUUUAUAAAAUGUCAUAAAUGAAGUCUAACGGUAAACAUUGUAAAAUUAAUCAAUUGAUUAGCAGAAUGGGAAGGACCAUCACAAAGCAUAGAGUUCUUUUGAUCUAAAUAAAGUAGAUAUCCCCAUUCCAAGCAAAGCUCUAAUAGGAUUUCGAAAAAAAUAUUUAAAAAUAAGAGAUUUAACAUUUUAAGAUAAAAAGCCUUGUCACCUUUGAAGAUCAUGAGGUCAUUACCUCAAACCUUACCCCACAUCAACUAGUGUUUACGUGUUGAAUCGAAAAAUCAAAAUCGCGGUUAUUUAGUGGAAAAUUUUCAAGCCUUGGUAUGUUCAACAGUUUAUAGUGGAGUCAGAAAGAAAAUGUCCAUCACACAAUGCUGUAUGUCUCUUCUCAGCCUACUCAAAUCCAAUCUAUUUGGACCCCUUAGAGGUUCUAAUUGAGGAGCAGGCAGAAUCAUUCUCCUUGAACAAUGUCAGAAAAAAUGCUCUCAUCUGAUGUGGAUGCCUAACUAACCUUCUUAAUGGUGCAAAUUUUUUAUAUAAUUUGGCCAGGGCAGUUUGUGUUUGAAAUUCGAAGAGAGAAAAAGAAAAAAGAGAGGCGCUUUAAGGUUCUUUUGUGAAGAUGAUCCGUAUGAUUUUACUUGUUCAACUUUUUAUUGUUAGUUUAUGUCACUCACAUCCCGGCUGAAUCGUGGUCCCAACUCCUAACUUCAGCUUUUACAAAAUCCCCCGGAUGUGUAAAAGAGUACAUCCAAUUUAAUAAGUCAGCAAGUUGACAGUGACAAUAUUUUUGUAGAAAAAUUAUAUUAGAUUAAAUUAGAUGAUUAAUUUUUUUUCCAACUUUAUUGUAAAUUUAUAUGGACAAUUAAUGGAAUGGGAAGUGGGAGGGAAUUGAGUUUUGUGAUGACGUGGCCCAUCCAUUAAGUUCCAUUCUUCUUAACUUUCUAUUGUUUAUGUGUGUGGUUUCACCAACGAGACGUUACAAAAUAGAACGAAAAAAGGUAAUCACGAUGGCUCGAAUCAGCUAAAUUGUAUGUAAAUUACUUAUCAAUACUUACGUAUUAUAAAAGAUUCAUAUGUUUCAAGUCAAAAUAUGUAAAAAUGUGUCGGAGACAAGACUAGAAUAAAUAAAAUGUAAAACUCUAUCCAGACAAACUUUCAGGUAUUUUGUUGACAUAUAUGCAAGCGAAGAGCUUGAAAUCCGCUAGAGAUGGUGAAACAUAUCAUUGUCCAUCGAUUUUGGUGUGUUUUCUUCCCCCUUUUCCCCCUUUCCUUACUUUUCAGUUUUCCCUUUCCUGAAGGCGACCAGAAAACACAAAUUUUCCACACUUGCCCUUUCAUAUAAGCUGGACUUAAUCAUAAACUAAAGCAUGCAAAUAUAUAAUGGAGAAGCAAAUAAGGAAUUGAAAAAAAUUGAAGUCAAGAUCUCCUACUUUAAUAUCAUAUAAAAUUUAGUCUCACUAUUGUCAAAACUAAGCUUUCAAAAGUAGAUAUAGUGACGACCAUUUGAAAUUAAGUCCAAAUUUAUGAGUAUUGUCAUGAGCUUCUCUUGUUCAACAUGAGACUAAAGAUUAUGCAAAACAUUUGGCAAGAUGCUUGACCUCAAUUAGCUGUUGGAUCUCAUAACUUCCCUUCCACGUUAGUUGCAUGUCUAACAUUUCUAUGGGUAUCAAUUUAAUUAUAUGUCAUUCCAUUUCUUUCUAACCCUUCCUUGCUCCACUAGGAUUUCGGAAGGAAUUAUGUAACAUAUAAGUACAUAUGUGCCUAAUGAUUCUUCAUAAGAUUAGUAACUUUCUACAAGAAAUUCAACUUUAAUCCAUGACUACUUACUAACUUGAUUACAUUCGUAGUGUUUUGUAGAAAAGAUAACUUUUCUAUGCUGAUUCUUAUCUAUCAACAUAUAAUAAUAAAAAGAAAAGAUAAAUUUUGAACAUAACUGAUGAUAUCUGCUUAACUUUUCUAUGCUGAUUCUUAUCUAUAUUUUCAAAUUUAAGUUUAAGAAAAAAGAGCAAAAAUAAAUAACUGAUAAAAAAAAAUUGCAGGAAUGAGGCGAUGAUACUCUUUGUGACUUGCGGAGUUUCACUUCGAAUUUUUAUUUUAAUUCUUUUAAACAAAGAUUCGAUCUAAAAUUAAAAAUAUGCAAGAUAUACUUUUCCUAGAUUUUCCAAUUUAUAACAUUUGAUUUAUGAGAGGAAACAUGCAAAUAUGACAAUUAAUAAUAAUGUACUCUAAAUGGCCUAGAUGUGCAUGAUAAUGCUUGUCCAUGAAAAUUCUGAGUUUCUAAUAUAAUUGUCCUGAUACUAAUAUAAUGCAAUUCUAUUCAAUAUGUAAUGAAAAAUCAUAAAAUAGAGGUCCAAGUUUGGGCUCAAACAAGUAUGCGUGUAGAGGCAUCACCUUAUUAAAACAACUCAGCCAUAUCAACAAUCAAGCGGCAACUUUAAUCUGGCCAGCAAGUAUUUGACAUCAAAAUCCCUCGAUUUUGUUGUUAAACUUGCUGCAUCAGUUUGAGGGGAAAAGAAAGCAAGUAGAUGGAUAUCUCUUACCUAAUCCAAGUGGACUUCCUGGAGCAGAUUGGUGAACUGGAUUAGAUCGACAACAGCAAUCCAGGAAGCGCGAGAGCUAGGUUCAGACGAGUUGGAGGAGAACACUGUUGAGCAAGGGAACGAGCAUGGGUUAUGGUGAAGCAAAGUGAUAAUGAGCUAGUUGAGAGAGAAUAUUAUAAAGUCUAGGAAGGCCAAAACUUUCACUUACCAAAAACAUUAAACAAAGACCAAGACUUUGAAGGGCACACACCAAUAGUUAGAGGAAUAAAAAUAAAUUUAUUUUUUUUCCAUAGGUGCUUGUCUCCUCAUGUCUAGAGAUUAUCCCAAGAUAUCUUAAAUGAAGACCCAGACUUUUUGUUGCCCAUCUACCAGUCAUCAGAGACAGCUAAUUUUGUCUGAUCAAUAAGGAAAACAUAAGCACGUUCUUUGCACCUAAACAUCUACAAGUCAUGCACACUAACUAAUCCAUAAAGCAACUUGAUUUAUUUUUCUCUGAAAACAGUAAACAAGUUAAAAAAAGCCACCAACGAAUAUUUAUAACCUACUGAAAAUAACUCUUUAAGCAUGACAUUAAUGAACUGGAAAAUCGUGUUCAAUCCCUACGUGGGAAGGAAACUUUAAUGAAACCCAGGAAGUCCAAGACUUUGCAGGAUGCAAACUGGAUUUGUUGCUUGGCUUUUCCCAUCCCUCUUCUUCCAUCCCUAUGUGAAUGUUUUUUUUUUUCCAUUACCAGUAGAAUUUCCAAUCACAUGGAUUCUAAGUGAUUUUUUGUUUGAAUGAAAUAUUAUUUGACAAUUAGUAUUGAUUGUUGUUCUCUUGCUUAAAAUUUACCAUACUACAAUUAUUGUCGAACUUUCUUCAUUUUUAGUCACUCUGAUUUUCCCUUCCUUAAUCUCUAUUGUACCUGUCUUUAUAGUUAUGUCUACAUUUUCGUUUAUCUUUCCAAGCUAAAGUUUAAUAAAAGAAAGAAAAAGAAAAACCUGAAAACCCCCAAAAAAAAAAAAAUGCAAGAAUGGGGCGAGAGAGCGCGCCAUCAAUCCCAUUGUCACGGCCGCACCGUCGUGUUAGCACCACCGCCUGGGCAACUCAUCCAAUGCCGCCACUACUGUCACUGCUGGCGCUUCUAAGCGGAGCAACCAUCACAGGCAAUUGCCUCUGAUUACCUAAUAACUAACCUAAAUAGAUCUAGAGGCGAUUUCAUAAUGUAAAGGAUUAAUUCUAGGGUUAUCAGUUUCUCACGUGCAUCGUGAAAAAUUGGGUUGCACGUGGAGCUCACAUCAUUCAACAGUGAACGUGAAAUGGGCUCACAUACUCCAGGUUAACAUUUGUUACCUUUGUCCGUUGAAUAAGGAAAAGGUAACUUUGUAUGUUCGUGCCCAUUUGAGGAACCGAGGAACUUCUUGUAUUUCCAUAACAUACUCAAGUUAUUUGAUUGUAUUAUUUUCUCAAACGUACGCGAAUUAUUUAUACUGUAGCUAUCAUGUGAAAGCUUGCAUUGAUCACAUAUUCACCAAUAAAGCAUGAAAUAAAGAUAUUGGAACAAGGAUACUGACGAUAUAUGACUACUAAAAGAGCCAGAAAGCCAAUAGUAAUCAACAGAUUUUUGGAGAAAAUACACGUGCACUAUAAGUUGGUCAUAUGGAAAACAAUCACCUCUUAUUUUCUGUUUUGCAUGGCCACAAGAAAAGAUCCCCUAUUUCAAACACAGGCCAAAAGUCUUGAUCCAAAACAGAGGAGAAAAUGUGAUUUUUCUUUACAUGACCAAUUUAGAGUGCAUACGGAUUAUCGUUAAACAUUUAUUACAAGUGUCUCAUUGGCUUUUUUUUUUUUCAUCCAUACAUUCUCGAUGGCCGUAUGUGUUAAUGUCUUUGCUUUAAGCACUAUUGGUGGAUAGGCGAUCAAUAUAGGUCUUUACGUGGCAGUUGCGCGCUGAAAAUUUGCAGCAAUAUGAGCAGCAAUGAUCGGCUGAAGGGGGAUAAGCCAGUAGUGGACGAUAGGGAACCGCUUGAUAAGACAAUUUUGAUCCUUCACAUGAUUUUCCUGGUCAUUAGUGUGAUGCGUAGAGUAUAAUCUCUAGUAGAUUAUACCUUGUUAGUUGGCAAUACUUGACCCUUUUUUAUUUAGCAAUGAAUAAAGCAGACCAUUGUUUAAAGGACCAGCAAAUAAGCAUUUUGUGCAACUGGCGUAGACUACAAUAAGCAUCUUCGGUCAACUUGCAUGGACUAAAAUAAAUAUUUUUGAAAGAUAAAAUAUUAAGGAUCCACAAAACAAUGAAAUCUUACUCUUUAUUAUAAGUCUGCAAAUUACCAAAAACAGCUAAUUUUGUCUGUUCGAUGAGGAGAACGGAAACACAUGUUUUGGGCUAAACAAAAAGGGUUUGGCACACCAGCUAAUCCCUCAAGCAAUAUUUUAGUCCUAAAAUAAUGACAGCCAGCUAAUAUAUCAAGCAAGUUGCUUUAUUUUAGUCCUGAAAUGGUGAACAAGUCGUAAAUCAUCAACUAAUUCAUUAAGCAAGUUACUUUGGGCCAACUUUGUCUGUUCAAAGGACCACAAUUCUUUUAACAAGCAAUUCAUGAUUAUCAACUUCUUUAGCACCCUGCAACGGAUCAUUGCUGCCGAUCUUUCUGCAAUUUUUUUAGCUCUAUAGCUGACAUGUAAGAGCCUAUAACUACAAAAAUAAAUAAUAAUAAUAAUAAUAAUAAUAAUAAUAAUAAUAAUAAUAAUAAUAAUAAUAAUAAUAAUAAUAAUAAUAAUAAUAAUAAUAAUACUAAUAAUAAUAAAAUAACAGCACACUUAGAAGUUAUACUCUUACAAACGAUAGCCAAAAGUCUUGAUAUAGAGAAAAAGGACAAAAUUGAUUUAUCUAACUCAAGGACAUAAUGUGCAUCAAGGUCCUCUCUUCGGUCUAACUCAAACAGCUUGUCGUGAUAAUAUGCUCUAUUAAAAUACUUUUCAUCAGGAAGACCUAGACUUUGAUCGGAUAUCAUGUACAUUAUUAUUUAGAAAGUGAAGCAAAAAUCAGAAAGUGUUGAUCAAAAAGAAAUUUUAAUCAAUUCCAAGAAGAUCAAUAAUUUGGAGGACGCAAAUUGGCAUUAUUGCUUCACUUUUCACAUCCCUCCUCUUGCAUCCCUACGCGAAUGUCUCUUUUUCCAGUACAAAUAGCACUUUCAGGUAUUAUAUGUCUUUCUUAAAGUUAACAAUACUAUAAAUUAGCAUAAGAAGGAAGCCAUGAAAGAACCCGGAACGAUCUCUCUAUAUGUUGUAUUGGUCACUGUUGACACCUAAAUUUUGACGAUUUAGUUUAUUUAUUUAUUACAUAGGAAAUUAGGGGUUAAUUUUAUUAAUUGCAUAGCAUAUAGAUUUAUAUUUGCAUUUAUUUUGUUAUUUGCAUUUUAUCUAUUAGACCGGUGGCGGAUAUAUUCAAAUUAGAUGAAUCUUUUUUGGAUAGGGCAGAUGGAUAAAAAAUAUUGCGAUUUGUCUUUAAAAAAUUUGGAUUUAGAAAAAAUCUCAUCUUGAUCUUGAAUUCUUAUCAAUAUGAGAUGAAUUUUGUUAAAAAGAUUUGCAAGGUUGAUUCGAUGAAGAAUUUGAAAAUCCAAUUCCCUCCCCUAUAAAAGGCCGUGCGUGCGAGGGGUUUUGGGGGGUUCGUUUCUUGCUUUCGAGGGGCUUCUUUAAAAAAUUCAGAAAAAAAGUCAAGAGAGGAGCAAAAAAAGGAAAAAGCUUCUGCAGAAAGGGGGAGAAAAGAGAAGUACAGAGAGAAAGUGACGUGAGAGGAGACAGGAGGAGAGAGAAAGAAAUAAAAAAAGGGGAAGAAAGCACUGUUCUUCUUCUCCGGUGGGCUCGACUGCUGCCCGCGCUCGCUGCUCCUGCUCCGUUCGCCUCGCCCCACCUCCGCCGCACCUCCGAAGCCCGCAACCUGCAGGUCUCUCGCUCGCCAUCACCGAGCACCACCGACGCUGCUCCUGCUCCGUUCGCCUCUGCUCCCGCCGCCGCCGCCGCUUGAAGCCACCGCCGUGCUGCCUCUGGUCCAACGCCUAGCGUUCCCCUCUAUCCGGAGCAAGACCCAAACAGAUCUGUAACCACACAGACCCGAGUCCUCCGCCCGGGCGCCUUUGUUCCACGGGUCCUUGCUGCUCAAGCGCCGCUGCUGCUCCUUCGACGAGCCGCGCCUCCUGGCCCGAGCUGCUGCUUCGCCUACCAACCCAACGACCCACGAUCCACGCUCCAGCUCCGUCGCCCCUGCGAAACUGCUGCUGCCUUGCCGAUCCGCUCCACCGGCCAGACAAAGCCCUUCGCGCCUCAGCCAAUCUCUGUCCCCGAUCUGCCGUGCCGGAGCUGCUGCCCGACGCCGCUGCUCGCCCCCCUCGCCGGUGCCCGAACGUCGGCUGCUUCGCCCGAGCACCCCUGCAACGCUGCUGCCCCUCGCCGGACCUUCGCCGGAGCCGGUGGCCAGCCGCACGGACGUGAAGUUUGAAAGAAAAGAAGAAAAACAGAAAAAGAAAAAGAAAAUCUGAUUAGGUGGUUUUUCCUUCUCUUUUAUUUUACCUUUUUUUUUUAAUAUUCUGUUUUAGUGGAAUUGUUCCUUGAUAUAUUAUUGAUAUCCCAAUAUGAAAUAGUCUAUCAAGCACUAUCAAGCUAGGGAUUGACAGUCCGAUUUUCGCGCCCGAAAUCCGACUCGCAAUCCCUUAUAAAAAUCGACAAUCCAAUCUCAAGCCCGAGAUUUGAUUCGCGAUUUAAAAUUAAAAUUGGUCUACCCGAUCUCAUGCGCGAGAUAUGGUUCGCCAAUUUUUGGAUAUCAAUCUUAUCUUUUAUUUGAUUUGCUAUCGUCAAGUUUGGUUGAGUCAAAUCUUAUUUUCAUAAAAAUAAAAAAUCAAAAAAAUCUUAAUUAGGAUUAGGUUUGUUGUCAUCUUGCAUAUUUAGGAUUGCAAUCUUAUUAUGAAUUUUUUAAAUAAAAAAAUCAAAAAAAAGAAAGUACAAUCAUUUAGGUUGUUAGUUUUUUUAUUUGAAUUGCAUGUUAAUUAUGUGAAAACUUUAAUUUCGAAAUUAAUUAAAAAAAACCCAUAAAAAAUCAUUGUGCAUAUUAGAUUAGAAUUGCAUGCUUCAUUUUAAAUUUAGAUCAUCUUUUUUAAGAUAAAUGGCAUUUUAGAUUUAGAUAAUAUCUUAGUUUAAAUUAGGAUUUAAUAUGACUUAAUCCCUAGUUUAAAUUAGAUAGAAUCUUAAUUUAGCUAGAUCAUUUGAAAUUUCAUAAAAUUUGUCUUAGGAUAAAUUAGUUGCAAUUUCUAAGAUAGAUUGCAUUUUUUAAUAAAAAAUGUCAUAUGCAUAUGUCAUGUAGAAUUAGAGCAUUCUUUGCACGUCAUUGCAUGCUAAGAUUACAUAUUAUAGGUUUAGAUAAUUUCUCCUAAAUAGAUUGCAUGCUUAUUAGGAAAAUAAAAAUCAUGUGCACGUCAUAUAAAAUUAGUCUCAUACAAUGCACGUCAUUUAGUGAUUUUUGUUAAGUGCAUUUAAUUAGAAAUUGCCCGUCAUUAGAAUUAGGUCAUUAGAUUAAUUUAGAUUGCAUAUUUAAAUGUUGCAUUUCUUUAAUUUCAAAUCUCAUAGAAAAUAAAAAAAAUAUAUUUUGAAUAAAUCAUCUCAUGCUUAGGAUAGAUCACAUGCUUAAUUAUGUCAUAUUGCUUAAGUCAUAUAGCUAAGUCAUGUUGCCAUGUCAUAUCAUUUCAUGUUAAAUUAGUGGCAUGCAUUGCAUAUUGCAUGAUUUUCAUUAAUUAAGUGAAAACAAAAAUUAAGUAAUUGCUUGUUAAUUAGAAACCAUAUCUAGGAUUGUUGAUAUGGAUUUUAAUUUAACACUGCAGAUGCUUUCGUUGCUUUGAGGUAAGUUCUGCAUCAUUUAUUUGCUUUAUUGGAUGUUAAAUUGGUGGUUUGCGCACCCGCAUGGUCGCCUCACAUGUUAGGGAAUUAAAAUCAAUUCAAACUGCUUGCCAAACAUUUUUGAAAAUAAAAAGAAUGGUACCGAAAGGGCAUUAGAGAAAUCUAAUGUAAUCAAGUCCCCGUACCCAUAAUCUCUGGUUCGUAGAAGUAAAAUAAUUCUCUCAUUAUUUUACUUAGGUGUCUAAUCGACCUACCAAAAAUAGAUUAGUGGCGGCUCCUAAUUGAAAAUCAAUUGCAUGUUAUAAACUUGAACCUAAGUCGCGAAUUGGUAUGGGCUUGGGAGAGCCCGAGUUAAGUCUAGGCUUAACAAUCCAUUAGCCAAACCCUAGGUGGUUCGUAACCCAAAAAAAAUUUGGUCGCGACAGUCACUGAAGAAAACGACAAGGUAUAUGGUGAAGGUAGGUGAUAAUGAGCCUAUGGAGAGAGAAAACUAUAGAGUGCAAGAUGACCAAAACUUUUACCGACCAAAAAGAUUAAAAAGAGACCAAGACUUUCAAGGACGUACAUAAGAGGUUAGACAAAUCGAAGUAAAAUAUUUUCUCUCCACAAGUGCUUAUUUCAUGAAUUGUUCGCCUUUUUCUUCAUAUCAAGAUUUUUUUUUUGUUUUUUUUAAUAUGACCAAGUCCACGCAUGUUUUCUUUCCUAACCUGUGUUUUGUUGGCUUUUUGGCUUUGAAUGCAUCUGUAAAUUUCUAGCAUCCUAAUGAUUUCUACAUAUCGUUGAAUAUGCAAUCAACGUGGGCUUUUUCGUGGCCGUUACAGCCCUAAAAAGUCCCAAAUGUUUAAGAAAACAAUUACCUUGAGUAUAUUAUGGAUAAAUAAGAAGGUGCUCGAUUAGUCCUUUAAUGUGGACGAACAUGUAAAGUUCUUGCCGAAAGAUUAGCAAAUAUUUUAGCGGUGAAGGAAGCCAACCAUCAUAAUUGGGACUGGCAAAUGAGCAUCUUUGUACUGAUUGCACUAACUGAAUCUUCAGAUAAACAUUUUGAAAGAUACGCCAAGCAAUGGCAGCUUAGUUUUUGUUAUACAUCUACAAGUCAUCAUGGGCGGUUAACGUUGUGUGUUGGAUAAGGAAAAUAGAAAUAAUUGCUUAAGGAAAAGUAAACAUUAAAAUAACAUAAAUUUAGUUCUACAGAUCUUCACAUUUUGUCAAUUGAGUUUAUCUAGUCAAUUUUGGUCGGAAAUCGCUUAUGUGGAUAUCGGUUGUCCUACAUGACAUGACGGGUUUUGAUGUAGGUAAUUAAUAUAUUAAUAUUUUUUGAAAGUCUUUUUUAUUUUUUUUCCUUUUCUCUUCUUUUUUUUUUCGUUUUUUUUCCCUUUCAUUGACCAUCAAUGAGGCGAUGGCCGGCUAAUGGAAAAAGGGAAAAAGAAAAAAAAAGAAAAAAAAAGGUAAAAGAGAAGAAAAUAAAAAAAAUAAAGAAGGAAAAUAUAAGAGAAGAAAAAAGGAAAAAGAAAACAAAUGAAUAAAAAAGGGAAAAUUCCAAACAAUGGCCUAAAGUGCUAACAGUUUCUCAAAUAAGAGUUUAAAAUGGAUUUUGUGUCAAAUAAAAACCUGAAGUGACCAUAAUUGUUUCAAAUAUGGGCUUGAAAUAGCCAUGAUUAUUUUAAAUAAGGGUCUGACCAUGUCAAUUGCUAGCCAGCUUUGUAUUUUGACCGAUUAAAGGGCGCAUUCAUCUAAAAAUUUUACUUUAAAUUAUUCUUAUUCUCUUAUUUUUCUUUUUCUUUUUUCUUUUUAUAUUUUCAAACAAGGGCCGCACGACCGCUAACGAGGGUCAGCGAGGGUUACAUGGCCCUUAGCGACAGCUUGUAAGGGCUGGUGAGGGCUUGACGAGCCUUGUCGACCUCACUUGAGGCAAGGGUCGCCUCACCUAGGCAAGGCCAUCCCUCAUUGGCCACUAGUGAGGGCUGACCUUGUCAACAGUUGCCCUUGCCUAUGGUCGGUGAGGGUGGCCCUCAUCUAGCUCUCUCCAAGCAUUGCUAGUGCCUGGCCGGCCACCAACGAAGAAGAAAGAAAAACUAGAAAAAGGAAAAAAAAAUAAGGAAAAAAUUCAAAAAAUAUAGAUGAUGAAAAUGCCUUUAAGUAACUAAACAGUGAAGCUCUUAUUUGAAAUAGAUAUAGCCAUUUCAUGCCCUUAUUUGAGAAAACGAUGGCGCUUCAAGUCUUUGUUUGAAACAAAGUUCACUUCAGACUCUUAUUUGAGAAAAUGAAGGUAUUUCAGGCCCUUAUUUAGAAUUUUCCCAAAAAUAUAUUAAAUAAUAUUAAAAUUGAUUGCGUCAAUGCUAAUUGUCUUGCCACAUAAGACAGCUGGUGUCAAUAUCUAUGAUUUCAGAUUAAAAUUGGGAAGAUGGAUUUAAUUAACAAAAUGUGAAAAGAUUAAUGAUUCAAUUGACACAAUUUUGACAAAAAAGAAUUGACUUAAUCAAAAAAAUUAUAAUUGAAUUGGGAAAAAGUACAAUAAAUUUAGGAAUUUGAAUAAUUUUCCCCCACCAACUAAUCCAUUGAGCAACUUGCUUUGCAAUACUGAAUGAGUUAAAAAUCACCAACUAAUACCAUAUAAUAUAUAGAAAGUUACACUACACAUCACACACAUAUAAUAUACCUGCCACACCAAACGACCAUAGAUUAAACAAAGCAAACAAAAUAAAAUACUUUCUGUGCACAACUGUUUGUUAUGUAAUAUUCGGAGAAUAUCCCCCAAAGACUUUAUUGGAUAUCCUGUGCUAUCUUGUCUGGAAAUUUCUACGCCUAACAUGUGAAGCAAAAGUGAAGCACUUAAAGAAAGACUAACAAUUGGCUCAAAAAAAAAAAGAAAAAAAGAAAGAAAGAAAGACUACCAAUUGAAAAGAAACUUUAAUCAAUUCCACAAAGAUCAAGAGAUUGCAUGAUGCUGCUUUACUUUUCGCAUCCCUUCUUUACCAUUCCUAUGUGAAUGUCUCUUUUUCCAAUACUAGCAGAAUUUUCACGUAUUACAUAUAAUUAACAAUACUAUUUCCAUGAGACUCUUUCCGUGUUUAAUCACGUUGGGGUUUUUUAUUCAUUACUCUCUAUUGUGCAUGUCUAUUGAAAUUAUGUCUAGGUUUCCAUAAGUUCGAUAAAAUAAAAAUGGCAUAAAGAGAAACGAAGAAGACAAAACAGCAAAAACUUUGAAAAAAAAUAUUAGGAAUGGGGCGACCGAGAGAGCGCCACCGAUCCCACGGCCAUUGCCACGCUGUGGUCAUCAACACCACCGCCAGGACAACUUAUUCCAACACCGUUGCUGCUGGCACUACUAGCUGGACUAAUCAUCUCACAUUUAAUUUAAUUACCCAAUUACUAACCUGACUCCAUCUAUAGGGAAAUUUUCAUUGUAAAUAAUGAAUUUUAGGUUCAUGAUUUUUCCGCUGCACUUUGAAAAGUUAGCUUUCACAAGGAGCCCACACCAUCCGAUGGUCGAUUUGAGCCGAGCUCAAAUGCUCAGGGUUCAUUCAUUAGUUUCCCCUCAUCCCGCGUCUAAGACUUUACAGGCCGCCACCAUGAAAAAAAAAAAUGGGUUUAGGCCCAAGAGACCCAAUUGGGCCAAUUCUCAUUUUAUCCCAUGAAGCUCCAUCUUAGAAGCCCAACGGACUAACUUCCUCCAGCUUAUUUAUAAAUGUUGGAGCUAGCUUAACAGGAGAAAGUAGAAUAGUUAUGAGAGAGAGAAGAAUCCAGAAAACUGGAAAAGAGAAGUAAACCCCGCGCGCGCGCGCGAGUGAGAGAGGGUUUAGGUAAUCUUUUUUGGGCUUUCUCUAUGUAGCUAAGCCUCAUUUUCAGUUUUGUAAAGGAUAUGGGAACCCAAUGAACCACUCUCAGUUGAUGGUAAUAACUAGAUUCACCUGAUAUAACAAAACUUGUAGUACCUUCCUAUAGUCCUGAAAAUUCCCAUGGAUAGGUGCCACCUUGCCUUGUGGAAUCAGCCAGACCUCAUCUGAGGUUCCAGCUAUUAGAUGCUUAUUGUGAAUAAGCUGCAAAUCAAGGUGAAAGAAGGGCUAUUAGUUGUGAAAAUGAUCCAUGGUUGGUCAAAUUGAAGUAUUUUGACCACAAAAUCAAUCUCACCAUCUCAAUUGCUCCUUAGAACAAGACCAGACCUUGAAUGAGCACCUCAGCCACAUCCAAAUCCUCCAGUUGUGGAUAGGCAAAACAGCAGAGUCGCACUCAAUCAUCCUUGGACAAGAAACUAACAAUUUACAAAGAUAAUUCUUCAGUAGUCACUACUCAUUAAAGCAGAGCUUAAAGACCACAUUUAUAAACAAAGCCCAAUACUACCUACAGGCACAGAUAUCAGAACUCUUUGGUAUUACAGAUUACUCCAAUACGAAAAAACUGAUCAGGCUAACUAUUCUAGUCCAAAUAUUUUCCAAGUUGAAAUGAUUAGAUUGGUUUCUGUUCCAUUAUAAGUUAGAUAUAUGAUGACAGAAUAGACGCUCUCUAUAGUUGUUAUCACUAAUUGAUUCUCUUGUAUUUUCAAUGUAACAUUAGAUUCCAAUAAGUUCAAUUAGUGCAAGAACAACAACAGGCUAAAUGAAAAGUAUUUGGAGUCAUAAGGUGGACAACAAGAGCAGACUUACCAGAUGAUUGGAUGGCUCAUCAAGCAAAACUAUGUGAGGCUUUUUCAAAGUUAUCUUGGCAAAUGCAACUUUGCCUUUCUGUGCACCUAUUUAUAUGGUCAAAGCACCAUGUUACAUAUGCAAUAACAUCCAAAAAGCCUCAGAGUAGUACACAGUGAACUACUUGCAAAUUGACUAACCUCUAUUAGGGCUUCACAAUGUCAUAAAACAAUUGCUUCAAAAAUAAUUUACAUAUGCAACUGUAGCGGAGAGGGAGGCAAUGUAUCAUAAAGGUAUACAUUGGUUGAAGUGCAAGAUGUCCAAUUACACCAAAGGAACGCAAGUGAGCUCGAAGCUUUUCAAUUGAAAAUCCCUGCAAGAAGAAUGCUACAUAAGAAGGCAUUUGCAGAUAAAACGACAUGAUGUAUAACAAAAUCAUAUUCCGCAAUGGAGUAAAUGCAAACAACCAAUACUUUAAAGACCUGAACAGAUUUGCCCCAGAGGUCACUACUAAUAAUGCAAACACAAAGGCAGGCAACAUAUCGUUACAAUCUCAACCAAAUAAGCACGAGUAUAUAGGCUAAAAAUUUCUAGCAAGCUGUAAACACAAACAGAAUGGUGAUCUAUGGAAUAUCAAUACUAUCAUGAUGGAGUUGUAUUAAAAGCUUGGAGCAAUAAGCUGCCCCAGAAAUGUGUCCCAAAUAGAUUGCUUAAUACUACAAAGGAUCAUCAUCAAUAAAAAUAAAAAAAUAAAAAAGGGUUCUCGAUUCUAAAGAAAACCAUUGAAAAAAAAAACAAUGAAUGAGCUAGGACACAAGAAAAAGAUGGUGGGAAGAGAACAUACAAGAAACGCUGAAAAUGCAAAGACAUAUGAUUGUGGAACGCUAUAAUUCUUCGUGAUAGUGCAUCUUUCUUCACAGUUUUUUUAAGCAUCAAGUAGAGUUGAAGAUAUUCCAUCAAUAUAGCAAGAGGCAGCACUGAGUGAAUUUCGACCUAAAGUUUAUUGUCCAACGAAACAGAACUGAUCCAACCCAACAAGAAAUCCCACUCAAAUGUCAGUCUUUGACUUUCAGUGGUAGAGCUUGCCUACAUCCUAAGAAUGGGUUUUGUUGGCCAUGAUAAUAUUUUCAUAAUUAAUUCUCCAAAAUAGUGCCGAAUAGUGAAAAUGGGGAAAUAUAUUGAUAUAGCUUUCUCACAAAAUAGAUUUGUCUUACAAAAUAAUUUACUGUGCUAAAAUAUUCUUUUGCAAAUGAUUAAAUCAUUUUAGUGUGCAUGAGAAAACUGACUUCGGUGGCAAUAGAGUAUCAAACUUCCAGGGGCACAACAAAUGUACCUAUUGCUAUAACAAAAUGUGCAAAGAAUCAUAAAUUAUACCAAGAUUACAAUCACAACUCAGUUCUUAAGCUAUUGCAAAUGAUACUGUAUGCUGUCAAAAACUUAGACUCAUCGUUCCACAAGCCCUUGUCAAGUAUAAAUGACAAAUGAGGGCUGGUGUAACUGUGAGUCUGUCCUGUAUAUCAGUAGCAAUCCUCUCUUCAUCCUUUUUUGCUUUCUCUAUGUAGCUAAGCCUCAUUUUUUGUUUUGUGAGGUAAUGUGAACCCACUAAACCACUCUUAGUCGAUGGCAAUAACUAGAUUCACCUGAUUCAAUAAAAAUAGGAGUACAUUCCUAUAGUCCUAGAAAUUCCCAUGGAGAGGUGCCACCUUGCCUUGUGAAACCACCCAGACCUCAUCCAAGAUUCUAGCUAUUAGAUGCUCAUCAUGACCAACCUGCAAAUCAAGGUGAAAAGAGGGCUAUUAGCUGUGAAAUGAUCCAUCAUUGGUCAAAUUGAAGUAUUUUGACAAGGAAAUCAAUCUCACCAUCAGAAUUAAUCCUUGGAACAAGACCAGACCUUGAAUGAGUGCAGAAUUAAUCCUUGGAAUCNNNNNNNNNNNNNNNNNNNNNNNNNNNNNNNNNNNNNNNNNNNNNNNNNNNNNNNNNNNNNNNNNNNNNNNNNNNNNNNNNNNNNNNNNNNNNNNNNNNNGAAUUGGAAAAAAAAAAAAACAAAACACUAUCAUUAGACAGAACUACAAUUACCAAGAUAAUUCUUUAGUCACUGGUCAUUAAAGCAAACUUAAAGACCAGAUUUACAAACAAAAAGGGGUCCAGAUAUUUGUAUGUAAAGCCCAAUACUGCCUAUAGGCAUAAAGAUCAGUACCAUUUGGUAUUGUAGAUUGCUCUAUUCUGAAUAUUUUCCACAUUGGAACAAUUAGAUUGGUGUCUGUUCCAUUAUUUGCUAGAUGUAUGAUGACGAGGGCUACCAGCAGCUAUGACCACCAUUUGGUUCUACUAUAUUUUUAAUGUAAAACCCAGAUUCCGACAAGUUCAAUUAGUGCAAGAACAAUAACAAGCUAACUGAAAAAGUAAUCAAAGUCAUAAAAUGGAGAAAUAUGAGUAGAACUUACCAAAUGAUAGGAUGGGUCGUCAAGCAAAACUAUGUGAGGUUGCUUGAAAGUUAUCUUGGCAAAUGCAACUUUGCUUUUCUAACCACCUAUUUAUGUGGUCAAAGCACCAUGUUAUAUGUGCAAUAACAUCCAAAAAGCCUUGGAGAAAGUACACAGUGAACCACAAUUCAGAUUACAAAUUAUCUAACUUUUAACAGAGCUUCACAAUGUCAUAAGAACAUUGCUUCAACAAAAAAUUUAUACAUGCAACACUAGCACAGAGAGAGGAGAUAUACCAGGCAAGAUACAAAUUGGUUGAAUCACAAGAUUUCCAGUUACUCCAAAGGAACCCAUGUCAGCUCAAACAUUUUGUUAUGGAACUCCUUUUGGGAAGAAUGCCACAUGGUCACCGCUGAUGAUGGAAACCCGAAGGUAGGCAGCCUAUCAUAACAAUCUCAACCAAACAAGCAUAAGUAUAUUUGCUAAAAAUUUCUAGCAAGCUGUGAGCAACAGUUCCUAAACCACCAGAAUUCGAGACCCAACCAGAAAGCGAUUUAUGGAAUAUCAAUGCUGUCACGUGAAAGCUUGGAGCCAUGAGCUGCCUCGGAAUUUUAUCCCAGAUUGACUGCUUAAUACUACAAAGAAUCAUCAUAAAAAAGGAAGAAGAAGGUUCCUAUUCUUAAGAAAUCCAUAAAAUGAAAAAACCGCAUCCAUUUUCUUCACAAUCACAUCAUAGCUUCCACAAAACUAAUCAUCCUUUUAGAUUUUGAAAAAGAUCUGUUCUUAUUUAGAUCAUAUUCACCAGAAGGAAAAUUCAGAACGUAGCAGUGCAACAAAUAUAUUUAAUUGCUUCUUCCUUUAUUGAUAAAUUGCAAAAGAGAAAAAAAAAAACGAAGCAAGACAAUGACACCAACAGCAUUAGCCCUACCUUAGCAGCGUUCGCACGUGAUCCUUCCAAGAGAUUCUGCCAAUGCAAGAUCACAAUGGUAUCUGCAAAACAAGCAGAGUGAAUGAGCUUAAGGGCCCAAGAAAAAAUAUGUUGGGAAGAGAACAGACAAUAGACGCAGAAAAUGCAGAGGACUAUGAUUGUGGAAUGCUACGAUUCUUCGUGAUGGUGCGAUUUCAUUCACAAAUGGUUUGGGCAUCGAGCAGAAAUGAGGAUAUGUCGUCAACAUAGCAAGAGGCAGCACUGCGAGCGUUUCAUCCUACAGUUCAUCGUCCAACGAAACAGAGCCAAUCCAACCCAACGCAAUCCCCCACCCAAACAUCAGUUCGUAUUGAGCAUCGAAUUGAGAAAGUAGAAUGGAAAAGGAUGCCUUCAAAACCAAAAAUAACUUACUCGGACCCUAAGAAAACUCACUGUAGUGUAGAUGCACGAAUCAAUUCACCGGAUGUGAACGUGAGGGAUCUCUUCGAUGAGGGGCCAAUAGUCGCCAGUGAGUUUUGCGCAUCGCUCUUUCAGAAUCUCGCAUCUAGGUAAGUACAAUCGUUGGAGGGAGGGAGGGAAGCCAUCCUCUGGCAAGUACCUCAACUUGGGGCAAUCUGUAAUAAAAAACAAUCGAAGAGAGGAGAGAUGGUUGCAGAGACCGCUCGAUAGUCUUUCUGUGUUUCUCAAACCAUAUAUGAGAAGAGAGGUUAGAGAGGAAGGAAAGAGACUCCAAGCAUCCUUAUCCUCCGAAGGAAACCACUCCUUCUCUCUCUCCCCUUCCAUGUUAAAAUCAAUGGUCAGACUCUCGAGAGAUGUGAACAGGUGUAAGCCCCACUCUCUCACUGGCUGCUUCAGAGCCACGGGCACCAUAAUUCCAAGGUCUCGCAAUUUGGGAGGCAGACCUCCUUUGGGGAAGAAUUUGAUAUUUUGGCAAUAGAAAAUUCUUAGCUCUUGGAGGGAGGUAAGAUGAUGCCACUUAUUUGGCAGGGACUUUAUCAUCGGACAAUCCCAAAGUUCAAGACUCUGCAAGGUGAUGGGAAGGGGUGGGAAGUCCUCUAUCUCCAAUACCAGACACUGCCAUAUUUUCAAUUUAGUGAGAUUGUUACACUUGGCAAUGUUACAGUUGGCAAUAGACUUUAUCUUAGAACAAUGAUUAAGAGCAAGACUCGAGAGGGUUACGGGAAGGGGAGGGAAGUCCUCUAUCUCCAAUGCUGGACAAUUAUCAAUAUCCAAUCGAGUGAGAUGGGAGAGCGUGUGAAGGCACUGUGGUAAGCUUCCCAAAUUUUGACAAUUGUUAAUUGUCAUUGUUUCAAGCGAUUCUACGGCAAUCCCUUCCAAUGACUCCACUCCCUCACAAUUGUCUAUAUGAAGUGCCUUCAGAGGAGCAAGUCUACCCUUGGCAAAUGAAAAGGAUAUCGGAGAAUCACAGCAACAUAUCUUAAGAGAUUCAAGUUGAGAAAUCGAAUUAUUGCUACUCGAGUCACCUUGAGGAAUGUUUAGAGCCAUGAUUUUUGGACAAUUUUCAAUCACCAAAUGUUUGAGUGCGUGCAUCUUGCUUGGAAGAUUUUCUAAACUUGUGCAAUCAACCAAUUCCAUCAUUUCAAGAUUACAGGGUAGCUCUAUCUCUCCGUCUCCUGCCACAAAAGAUAUGAAUUGAGGACAAUUCUUUAUUACUAAUUCCUGGAGGCAAGUGAGAUUUUGUGUUUCAUCUCCAUCUUGCCACAAGCAUGUUAGCUUGUCACACAGUCCUAUAUGAAGCUUCCUUAGCUUGCCCAAGCAACUCAUAAACCGAUGAUCAAAGGAAACAAGCUCUAUGAGUUUGUUAAUUUUGAGAACUGUCAAAGAAGUUAGCUUGAACAAGCUCUUUAAGAUCUCCUUACUACAAUCCUCAAGGUAUAACUCAUCGAGAGAUGGAAGACAUAACUCACUGGUUGAGUUAUUCAAUUGUUGGCAUGAAUGAAUUUCAAGCUUUAUAAGAUGAUCAAGUUGACAAGGUAAUGUCUCGACCAGCGAAGGACAGNNNNNNNNNNNNNNNNNNNNNNNNNNNNNNNNNNNNNNNNNNNNNNNNNNNNNNNNNNNNNNNNNNNNNNNNNNNNNNNNNNNNNNNNNNNNNNNNNNNNNNNNNNNNNNNNNNNNNNNNNNNNNNNNNNNNNNNNNNNNNNNNNNNNNNNNNNNNNNNNNNNNNNNNNNNNNNNNNNNNNNNNNNNNNNNNNNNNNNNNNNNNNNNNNNNNNNNNNNNNNNNNNNNNNNNNNNNNNNNNNNNNNNNNNNNNNNNNNNNNNNNNNNNNNNNNNNNNNNNNNNNNNNNNNNNNNNNNNNNNNNNNNNNNNNNNNNNNNNNNNNNNNNNNNNNNNNNNNNNNNNNNNNNNNNNNNNNNNNNNNNNNNNNNNNNNNNNNNNNNNNNNNNNNNNNNNNNNNNNNNNNNNNNNNNNNNNNNNNNNNNNNNNNNNNNNNNNNNNNNNNNNNNNNNNNNNNNNNNNNNNNNNNNNNNNNNNNNNNNNNNNNNNNNNNNNNNNNNNNNNNNNNNNNNNNNNNNNNNNNNNNNNNNNNNNNNNNNNNNNNNNNNNNNNNNNNNNNNNNNNNNNNNNNNNNNNNNNNNNNNNNNNNNNNNNNNNNNNNNNNNNNNNNNNNNNNNNNNNNNNNNNNNNNNNNNNNNNNNNNNNNNNNNNNNNNNNNNNNNNNNNNNNNNNNNNNNNNNNNNNNNNNNNNNNNNNNNNNNNNNNNNNNNNNNNNNNNNNNNNNNNNNNNNNNNNNNNNNNNNNNNNNNNNNNNNNNNNNNNNNNNNNNNNNNNNNNNNNNNNNNNNNNNNNNNNNNNNNNNNNNNNNNNNNNNNNNNNNNNNNNNNNNNNNNNNNNNNNNNNNNNNNNNNNNNNNNNNNNNNNNNNNNNNNNNNNNNNNNNNNNNNAAACUUCAGUUUGUCAGCAACUCAUGCAGCACCUUGUCGGAUAUAAGGAGAGAGUUCCCACUAGAUCCAAUACGCACCAAAAUUAAACUUCUUAAUACCUUCAUAUCAUGAUAUGCCCUCAAGCAUUUUGAUGUAACAAACAGCGACCAAAUGAAUGAUGCAUACCGAGCUCUCUCCAGAGAUGCAUAGUCUUCAUUAAUUGCCGGUUGAGACUCCCCAGAGCUAAAGCAUAUCCCACCCUCAAUUGACUUUGCUAGAUCAUUCAAAAGAUCAUGCAUUGAAAAUUUAGAUGUGUCAACACUUGAUUUUUGAAGAAAUGAUCUUGAUACUAAUUCAUCGAAGUAAUUCCAUCCUAAUUCCAACUUAUUUUUCUUUGUUUUUUGUCCAUCUAAAAAUCCCUCCGCUAUCCAUAAGAGUACUAGCUCAUCCCUCUCAAUUUCGUAAUCCUUAGGAAAUACUGCACAAUAAGAAAAGCAUCUCUUCAAAUAGGAAGGAAGAUGGACGUAGCUCAAUUUCAAAAUAGGGAGAACCUCAUCAUUCUUUGUCGUUGGAAGAUCCCAUAUUAUGUUAUUUAAGGUAUCUUCCCAUUCACUGGGAUUCAUUUUAUGACGUAGGACACCGCUAAACAUCUUCGCUGCCAAAGGUAAACCUUUACAUCUUUUAGCUAUUUUCUUGCCUAUUGUUUCAAAUUCCGGGUGGCUCUUAAAAUUUGUUGCUUCAAGAGCAUGAAAGGCCAAUAAGCUUGUACAAUCAUUGAGGGACAAUUCCUUCAAGGAAUUGGCGGUGCUUUUGUUACUGAAACAACAGCAUGGUUGCGAGUCGUAAUAAUAAUCUUGCUUUCCCUAACACCCACUACAAAUGGCUUCCAGAGAUCAGUCCAUUUUUCGUACUUCUCAUUCCAAAUAUCCGUCUAGAACCCCAAAAAACUUCUUUUCGAAAAGAUUGUCCCUCAACUUAACUUGAAAACUCGUUUAAAAUCUUUGCCCUCACAGGGCAACCAAUUGAUUGACCGUAAAAUAAUCUUUGUUAUGUCGAGAANNNNNNNNNNNNNNNNNNNNNNNNNNNNNNNNNNNNNNNNNNNNNNNNNNNNNNNNNNNNNNNNNNNNNNNNNNNNNNNNNNNNNNNNNNNNNNNNNNNNUUUCCAAUACCGCCCAUCCCAACUAUGGGGACUAUGCUUAACGUGGCAUUAGAAUUUUUGACCUCAUUGAUCAAUAGUUCGAGUAUUUGUUCUACAUCCUCCUCCCUACCAAAAAAUUGAGGCUCUGAUAGAGAAGUGGUUAUCCUUUUACUGGUGUAGUUGGAUUUGUCCACAACAUUCUCUCUCAAGUUUAAACGAACCUUUCCAGUGACAAUCUCUUCCAACCGGUCAUUGAUCUCUUGUACCUUGGUUUCAGACAUGAGCGAGGGUGGUCGGCCAAAUACAGAGAACUUCCAUUUCCCCAAACCUUUGCUUGUGCUGGAUUCUGCCUCUGACUCAACUUGGGCAGCUUUGAUCUCAAACUCAUCGAGCAAGUCUUCCAUGUCAUAGGCCAAGUCCUUAACCUUGUCCAGCCACAGCUUCACUUGAUGGUUACCACUAAGUUCCUUGUCCUCCGCAUCAGCCAACACUGCAUUGAUUAUGACUAGCUUCUCCUUCCACACCUUAGGCAAGGUAGUGCUGAUUCCUUUAUGUUGUGCAUAACUUAAUGCGGAAGAAGCCAACUUGUCGAACAGGACCUGAAAGGAUGAAGCCAAAAAGGAACCCAACACGAUCCCUCCAAUGUCCAUAGGUGAAUCAGUCACUGUAAUGAACAAGAAAGGUGUUAUGGUGAAGCAAAGUGAAAAUGAACUAAUGGAGAGAGAAAACUAUGAAGUCCUAGGAACACUAAGAUGAUGACCUACGAAAAAGAUUUUAAAAAAAAAGACCAAGACUUUCAAGGGAUGCACAUCAAAGGUUAGACAAAUCAAAAUAAAUACUAUUUGUCCACAAGUGCUAGUUACAUCAAUUACUCUCUUUAUUCUUCGGAUCAAGACUUUUUGGCUAUUGGAUCUUUACUUUUGGCCAUCCAAAACAGUCUUAAUAUGACCAACUUAGAGCCAACUUAGAGUGUAUGCAUAUUUUCGCCAUAAGUGUUAUCACUCACGAGUGUUUUGUUGGCUUUUUUAGCGUUUGUAUAUUCUUAGUAACCUCAUGAUUUCAAUGUCAUUGUUUUCUGCUUUAUUGGUGAAUAUGAGAUUAAUGAAGUCUUUUACAUGGGAGUUUCUAUGUGAAAGAUUCAUAGCAAGAUGGGUGAUAAUGAUUUGUUGAAGUGUGUUGAGGUAGUGGUUGAUAAUUAGGAAUCACCUUGAUAGGAGAAUCGCGAUCCUUUGAACACGAUUAUCAAGUUCAUUAGUGUAAUGGGUAGAGUGUGACAUCCAGUGGAUUAUAUGUUGUUAAUACUGGACUCAUUUACCAUUUACAGAGAAAGCAACUUGCUUGAUGGAUUAGUUGGUGUGCUUAUCCCUUUUUUUCUUAUUUAGCGAUGUAUAAAGUUGACCAAGUUAAUAGGAUCAGCAAAUAAGCAUAUUUGUGCAACUUAGUAAAAUAAAUGCUUUUGAAACAUAACAUACUGAGGAUUCGCCCAAUAAUGGCAUCUUAGUUUCUGUUACACAUAUACAUGUUAUCAAAGACAAUUAACUUUGUCUAUCCACUAAGGAGAAUAGAAACACGUGCUUUAGGCUAAAUAAGGAAAAGGGUCAAGCACACCGACUAAUUCAUUAAGCAACUUGCUUUAUUUUACUCUGCAAAUAAUGAAUAGUCAGAAAUCACCAAAUGACAAUGUAUAAUCUACUGAAAAUUAUACUCUUCCAAUCACACCAAUGAACAAGAAAAUCGAGUUCAAAGGACCAUGAUUCUCGUUUCAAGCGAUUCCCCAUCAUCAACUACUAACCCAUCACCUUUCAGCAGAUAUUGCCGCCCAUCUUGCUGCAACUUUUUCUUCUUUUUCUUUUCUUCACAAGUGCUUGUUCUGUAAUAUUUAGAGAUUAUCCCCAUACAUAUGUAGUAUCCACGAUCAUAUACUUGUUCAUAUAAAAAAAUCAUAAACUCGGGAAGACCAAAAUUUCACUGGGUAUCAUGAUCUUUUUUGUCAUGAAAGUGAAGUAUAACUGAUAAAGAGCUUAUGGGAAAGAAAAUUUAAUAAAAUCGAAGAAGACUAAGACUUACGGUGAUGCAAAUUGGAUUUGUUGCUUCACUUUUCAAAUUCCUCGUCGUCCGUUCCCAUGUGAAUGUCUUUUUUACAUUACUAGUAGUUUUCCACGAGUUACACGGAUGCCAAUUUUUAUUUUUAUUUGUUUAUGUGUGUGAUUGACAAUUGGCAGUGAUUAUUGUUCUCUUGCUCAAAUUGACAAAACUAUAAUUUUAGUCCAACUUUUGUCAUUUUUAAUCAUAUUGUGAUUAAUCAUUCAUUAAUCUCUGUUGUACUUGUCUAUUGGAAUUAUGUCUAGAUUUCCAUUUAUCUUUUCAAAUAUAAGUCUAAUAAAUGGAAAAAAAAAGCAAGAAGAAAAACUAAAUAAGAAAAACAGCCAAAAACUGAUGAAGAAAAAAAAAUGCAGGAAUGGGGCGAUAAUACUCUUCGUGACUCGCGGAGAGUUCCAUUUCACAUUUUUGUUUUGUUUUGUUUUUUAUGAAGAUGCAAUCUAAAUUUAUUAAUAUGCAAGAUAUGAUUUUCCCAAAUUUCCCAAGUUAUUAUAGCAUGUGAUUUAUCAAAGGAAAUGUGCAAAAAAGAGAAUUAACAAUAAUGCACUCCAAAAAGCCUAGAUGCGCAUGAUAAUGCUUUUCCAUGAAAAUUCUAAGUUUUCUGAUAUAAUUGUCCUGAUAUGGAUAUAAUGCAAUUCUAUGCUAAUAUGUAAUGAAAAAUCAAAAAAUAAAGGUCUGAGUUUUGGCUCAAACAAUUAUGUGUGCAGAUGUAUCACCUGAUUAAAACAAAAUUAACAAAUCACCAUGAAUUAUGCAAUCAAGCUGCAACUUUAACCUGGCCAGCAAGUAUAUGGCAUCAACUUUCCCCAAUUUUGCUAUUAAACUUGCUGCAUCAGUUCAAGGGAAAAAGAGAGCAAGUAGAAAGAUGUCUUUUACCUAUUCCAAGUAGACUUCCUGGAGCUGACCAGGCGAAUGGGAUAAGAUCCACAACAGCAAUCCAGCAAGCACGAGCGCUAGGUUUGGCAGUUCACUGUACGCGUGCGUAUUCAGCUACGGCAAUGCGUGGUCGCCGCUUGCAACGACGAACGAUGGUAUUGACUGAGCGACGACUAGAGAUGGUGGUGAUUGGCGACAAUCGAUGUGCAUGCAAGAAAUGAAUUGAACGAGAGUGGAGUCUGUGGGCGUGAGUUUGAUGAUGAUGGUGGUGGUGGUGGUGGAUGAAGAAAAAGUGAGGCGGUGUGGUUUCAAAGAAAGGAGCAGGAGAACCAAGAUGAAUUCUGCCGUGUGUGUUUUUCUCUCGGGGGUUCCCAUUUUAUCUUUGCUUUUCUUUUCUUUUUUCUUUCUUUUUUAUUUGGGGAAUAAAUUCGAAAGAACCUAAUCCUAUUUGUCGAAAUUCUGGUAAAUGCUUAUAAAAUGCUUUAAUUCCUAUAAACUUCUUCUGUGAGAGGAAAAUCUGUUCCAGUUUUCCAAAAGUUUAUGAAAACCACUUUUGGACAGAAGUUAGGUAUCGACAAAUUUUAACAAUUAAAUGAUUAUUUUUGAGCUAUUUAUACUUAUUUUGGUAACUCGAGAUUUCUUAAUUUUUGGAUGUGUGGAGCUGUCAGAAGAUCCUUUCCAGGUGUGGCUGUAACCACCUGCUUAUUGCUCACGUUUCGCCUCUUUGUAGAGGAAUGGUUUUGGAGGUUUUUUUUUUUUUGGUCUGAGAAUGGUUUUGGAGGUUCAAACACUAGGAUUUGUACCUGACUUCUGCUCCUUUUCAGAUUUUCCAUUAUGUUCCUCUUUUGGAUCGAACCGAGUCAAUUCCUCUUAUUUUGCUCCAUGAAAGUAAUUUAAGGAUGUGUUUGUUUCGAAAAAAACUUAAGAUUUGAAUAACAUUUUCCGAAAAAUGACUAGUUAUGUCAUUCAAAAAAAUUGACCAACACAGAGUAUUUUUCAUUGCCAACAUCAAUUUAUACCUGCAUAUUUCGGUAAAUGAUGAAAAAUUUUGAUUUGUUCAUUUUUGUGAGCAAUAAAUCAAUCAGUUUUUUGAAAAUAUUUUCUAAAUCUUGAGUUUUCAAUUAAACAAAUGUAUUUUAAUUAUUUGAAGUUUUUAUGUUCCUGCAUUAUACAAGGUAAAGAGUAGAAAUCAAAUCAGUUCAACUUAAAGAGUCAUGGAGAGAUUUUAUAAGAGUCCAAACAAAUUUCAUGAUUCAAUAGAUUCGAUGGUUUUUGUUAUUCAUGCUUGCCAUGACUUCAGUUUACCCAAGGAUGAGAGUAAUCAUGGAGGCUAUGCAUAUGCUAAAACAAUUAUUGGAUCAUGUUCACCAAUAGUGACCAAAGAUGGGUCCCAUACAUGCUAAAACAAAAUGAUGGAAUUGGGAGGGCCCUGCAUUAUUAGCCUUUUUUGUCACCAUGUCCAAUCAAGCAUAGCAUUAAGGACUUGACCCUCCGAAGAAUCCCCCCCCCCCCGGCGAAAAAAAAAAAGAAAAAUCUCUAAGGCACUCAUUUGUAUUUCGUCUGCCAAUUAUUAAAGGCUGAAAUGAAAUGUUCACCAUUUUUCAUUUGAAAAGAGAGCAUUUAAGACUCAUAUGGUAUUACUGAUUGUAUCAUAAAUAGUCAUCGUAUUCAAAUACUUUUUNNNNNNNNNNNNNNNNNNNNNNNNNNNNNNNNNNNNNNNNNNNNNNNNNNNNNNNNNNNNNNNNNNNNNNNNNNNNNNNNNNNNNNNNNNNNNNNNNNNNAUGUAAUGGAAUGACUCGAGGGGUUUACCCAACCUAGAGAGAGAGAGAGAGAGAGAGCCAUUAUAUUACGUUAAAUUGAAGUCUAGCAUGUAUCGCAUGAUCUUGCGUUUUUAAAGCAAAAUUCGUUUUCUUUCUUUAGUGUGGAGAAUAAGCCAACUAGUAUGGAAUACUUUCUAAACAAUGGAUCUAGAUUGUCUAAAAUUUUAGAAUUUUGAGGACAAUUCAAUCUACUUAUUAUGAGUGAGCUCCAAAUUAGUAUUAUGCCUUUCCUCCAAUAUUACUUGAAGCGAAUUAGUAUCAUUUGUCGGUGUAUAUACUAAUUAUAAUGAUUCCAGAGAAUUCACAAUUGUGCACCAUCAGAAGCCCGUACACAAACUAUUUGAAAUUUGAACUUAGACCAUGUAAUGAAUUAGAAGGUGUACAUCUAUUGUCGCAAGAAUUCUGUAGCUAGCCAUCUCGUGGCAACAUAUGUCUCCCCGGCAGCUCCUCGUGCAUCAUGGGGCCAAAAUCACAUCAAAGGAUCGUUGCUUUGUCAAAGUUAUUGAAACCUAAAUUAUUGAGGAUAUAACCAACAAUAGCAUCUUAUUGUAUGUUAUGUAUCCACAAGUCAUCAAAGAAAGUUAGGUUUGUCUGUUUGGUAAGGAAAACAAAAUCACAUGCUCUGGGUCAAAAGAAAUGGUCCCCUAUUUUAAUCGACAUCCAAAAGUCUUGAUUUGAAGAAAAAGGAUAACAAUAUAACUCAAUGACAUAAUGUGCGUCAAAACAUAUGCUCUCCAAUCUAACUCAAACUUCUUGGCGUAUUAGAAAGACCAAGACUUUGUUGGGACCCAUCAACUUUUUUGUGUGAAAAAUUAAGCGAAAGGGAAAAAGUGAUAGUGGGAAAGAAACUUUAAUCAAUUCCAGGAAGAUCAAGACUUUGCAAGAUGCAAAUUGGCUUUAUUGCUUCACUUUUCACAUCCCUCUUCUUCCAUCCUUAUGUGAAUGUCUCUUUUUACAUUACUAGUAGAAUUCCACACGUUACAUGCCUUGCUUAAGAUUAACAAUACUAGAAAUAAGUAUAAGAAGGAAGCCAAGAAGGGACUCGAAAAGAUCUCUCCAAUGAUCAUGGGUUUACCAAUCAUUGAGAGAACAACAACGGUUCUAGGUUCCAAGUUCCAGAACAUAUAGGGUAGGUUCCAGGUUCUAAGAAAUGAGAAACCUACUCUAACAAAAACCAUUGAGUCCUAAAACUUUAGACAAAGAAAAGGACCAAGGCUUUUUUAAAAUAAUAAUAAUAAUAAGUGCACGGGAAGUCCGAAAACUUAUCAUGAAAGUAUAAUUGAAUUAAAAAAAUUUCAAAAGAAACGAUUGAGUCAUAAAACUUGUCACAAAAGUAUAAUCCGGUACUAAAACUUUCAAAAAGGGCAAUUAAUUCCUAAAAUAUGUCUUGAAAGUGCAAUUAAAUCUUAAAACUUUCGAAAAUUGCAAUCAACGAAGAACUUAAUUGGACUAAUUUGACAUGUUUUAGGACUUAAUUGCAUUUUUUGAAAGUUUUAAGACUUAAUUGUACUUCAUAACAAGCUUUAAGACUUAAUUGUGCUUUUUGAAAGUUUUAAAACUUAAUUACAUUUUCAUGAUAAGUUUUAGAAUUUAUAAUGCACUUAUCCCUUUUUUUGCAUCCGUACAUUCUUAGUAACCUUAUAAUUUCAAUGUCUUUAUUUAAUGUGUUAUUGGUGAAUAUGCAAUCAAUGUAGGCUUUUAUGCGGUAGUUAGAGUGCUAUAGAUUCGCAACCAAACAAGCAACAAUGAUCUACUGAAGGGUGUUGUGUUAGUGGUUAAUGUUGGAGAACCGUUUGAUAGGAGAAUCGUGGUCCUUUGCACGAUUUUCCUAUUCAUAAGUGUGAUGCCUAGAGUAUAUCUAGUACUUUCUUAGUUGGUGAUGCCUGACCCUUUUUCUUGUCUAGCGAUGAAUGAAGUUGACCACAAUUAAUAGGACUGACAAAUAAGCAUCUUUGUACAACUUGCACCGAUUGAAAUAAAUGUUGACAAUCCACUUAACAAUGGCAUCUUACUUUCUAUUAUAGAUCCGCAAAUCAUCAAAGACAACUAACUUUGACUGUUCGAUAAGAAGAACAGAAACACGUGCUUUGGGCCAAACAAGAAAAAAAGUCGGGUACACCAAUGAAUCCAUGAAUCAACUUGCUUAAUUUUUACUUUGGAAAUAGUACAUGAUUCACAAAUCAUCAACUAAUCCAUCAAGCAAGUUGCUUUGGGCUAGCUUUUUUUGUUCAAAGGACCAUGAUUUUCCUAUCAAGUGAUUCACUAUCAUCAACAACUACUUCAGCACCCUUCAACAGAUAAUUGCCGCCCACUUUGUUGCAAAUUUCUAGCACUAUAGCUGCCAUGUAAAAGCCUAUACUAAAAAAAAAAAAAAAAAAGCAACAACAACAACAAAACAUUGUAAGUUAUACAUUUUUUAUGAAGACAUGCAUGCCCUCUAAGUUGGUCAUGUGAAGAAAGGGCAAAGUACCAAAAAAGUCCUAAACCUAUGAUAUUUGUACAAAUUUAAUCCUAAACCUUUCAGUUAAGCCAAUUUAGUAUUAAAUCUUUUUAUAUUGGUACUAAUUCAGUCCUUCUGGCCAAUUUUGGCUGGUUGGCUAGCUAUGACAUGGACAUUUGCGGGCUAGCAAACGCUGAUGUGACAAUUUUCAAAAUAUUUUUUUGAUUUAUUUAUUAUUUUUCCUUUUUUUUUUUCCUUUUCCUUUUCUUUUUCCUCUUCUUCCUCUCAACCUUCUUCUCCCGCAAUGCCUAGCAAGCCUUUGAUAGCUCGCCAGUGGUGUGGUGAGGGCUUCAUGGCCCUCGCCUAGUGGCUGGCAAGCCGCCAGAGGCUCGUUGGCCACUACAGGAGAAGAAGGCCUAGAGGAAUAAGAGGAAAAGGAAAAGGAAAAGGAAAAAAAAAAUUAAAAAUUCGAAAUAAAUUAUUUAAAAAUUGCCACAUUAGCGUUUGCCAACCGGCAAACAUUUAUGUUAGCAUUGGUCAGCCAAAAUUGGCCGAAAAGGAUUGAAUUAGUACCACUGUAAAAAGGUUUAGGACUAAAUUGGUUCAACUAGAAGGUUUGGGACUGAAUUGGUAUAAGUGUCACAGGUUUAUGACUUUUUUGGUACUUUUUCCUGUGAAGAAAUAUCACCUAUUAUACUAUAUUUUGGAUGACCACAAGAAAAGGUCCUCUUUUUCAAACGAUAGCCAAAGGUCUUGAUCCGGAAAAAAAAAAAAAAAGGAGAACGAUUGAUUUAUCUAACUCAAGGACACAAUGUGCAUUAAAACGUGGUCUCUUUGGUCUAAACUCAAAUUGCUUGGCGUGAUAGUAUACUCAUAAAGUACCUUUCAUCAAGAAGACCAAAAAUUUACUAGAAGGACACAAAUUGUCUUUGUUGCUUCACUUUCUACACCCCUCCUCUUCCAUCCCUAUGUGAAUGGGUCUUUUUCCAUUACUAGUAGAAUUUCCAUGUCUUGCUUAAAAUUAACAAUUCUAGAAUUUCCAUGGCAGAGGCUCUUUGUAGCCGUGUUCACUGAUUAGUUCUACUGUAUUUUCAAUGUCAAGACCAGACUCCGAUAAGUUCAAUUGGAUGGGAAGAAGGGGAAAUUAUGCAGAGCCCUUCCCUUUGGGUGUGAAAGGAGAACGGGGCAUUUAGGUCAAAGGGGACAGGAUAUAGAGAGAGGAAGGAGAGAGAGAGAAGGAUUGUAUCUUGAUGCCCUUGUGGAUUUGGGUUUUCAAAAUUUGAUUUUUGGAAUGGACUCUUUUGGGCCUUUCUGGUUGUGCGUUCUUGGUUUUGGACCUCCUAUUCUUUAUUUGGGGGAAGUUUUGUGUAAGUGGGAAAUUGGGGGGUUGGACUAUGUUUGUCCCUCCUUAAAACCUCAUGAUUUCCUCCUUAUUCUCUCUCUUUUUCCUCCUAUAUUAACAAUUAGUGGGGUAGCAUGUACCAUGCAUAAGAUAAUGGCAAAGUUGAUUAAACUUUUUCAGGUCAUGCGAGCCGCCACCAGUAGAGCAUAAGGAUGGACACCGAGCAGGUGCAAGGUCGAGAAUCCCGUUUCCCAUUCCCCAACUCGUGAAGCAGCACUUUGCCCCAAAAAAACAUAUUAAAAAUAUAUAAUCAAUCUAAUUAUGAGUUAUUUUAUGAGUCAGAAUGCAGAAAAAAAGACUAAAACUUACUGAAUGAUUGGAUGGCUGGUCAAGCAUAACUACGUGAAGUUUCUUGAAAUUAUCUUGGCAAAUGCAACUCUACUUUUCUGACCGCCUAUUUAUAUGGUCAAAGCACCAUGUUAUAUGUGCAAUAACAUCCAAAAAGCCUCGAGAAAAGUACACAGUGAACCACAAUUCAUAUUACAAAUUAACUAACCUCCAAUAGAGCUUCACAAUGUCAUAUGAAAAUUGCUUCAACAAAAAAUUUACAUAUGCAACAGUAGCAGAGAGAGAGGAGAUGUACCGGACAAGAUACACAUUAGUCGAAGCACGAGAUUUCCAGUUACACCAAAGGAACCCAAGUGAGCUUAAAGCUUUUGCUUAGAAACUCCCUGAAGGAAGAAUGCCACAUAAGAAGGUAUUUUCAAAUGAAAUGAUAUAAUGUAUGACGAAAUCAUAUUUCGUGGUGGAGUAAAACACAAAAGCAAACCCAGAGGUCACCAUUGACAAUGCAAAACCAGAGGCAAGCAGCAUAUCAUUACAAUCUCGACCAAACAAGCAUAAGUAUAUUGGCUAAAAAUUUCCAACAAGCUGCAAGCAAUAGUUCCUAAACCCCCAGAGAUCAAGACCUAAACGGAAGGUGGUUUAUGGAAUAUCAAUGCUGUCAUGAAUUGGAGUUGUAUUGAAAGCUUGGAGCCAUAAGCUGCCCUAGUAUUUUAUCCCAGAUUAACUACUUAAUACUGCUAAGGAUCAUCAUCAGCAAAAAGAAGGUUUUGACUCUUAACCAUAAAAAAGAACUGCAUCCUCCUUUCUUUUCAAUCAUGUCACUUUUUUCCACAUAACCAAUCAUGUUUAAGAUAUCGAAAAGAUUACCCGUAUAUACAUCAUAUUUACUAGAAGAAAAAUUAUAACAUACCAGUGCACCAAAUAAAAUUAGUAGCUUCUUCUUCUUCUUCUUUAUUGCAAAAAAUGACACAUAACAUUAACAGCAUUAGUCCUACCUCAAAAGUGUUUGCAAGUGGUCCUUCAAGAAAUUUUGCCAAUACAAAUUACAAUGGCGAAUGAGUUGGGGCACAAGAAAAAGAUUGUUGUGAAGAGAAUAUACAACAGACGCUGAAAAUGCAGAGGACAAUGAUUGCGGAAUGCUAUGAUUCAUAGGGAUUCUAAUGUAAAGCAUAGUGCAUUUGCAUUCACAAUUUGUUUGGGCAUCAAGCAGAGUUCAAGAUAUGGUAUGUUGUCCUACAGUUUAUUGUUCAAUGAAACAGAGCCGAUCCAACCCAAUGAGAACACCCACUCAAUUUUCAGUCUCACCUUCAGUGGCUAGUUUUUGGAAAUUCAUGGGAAACAUUUCCAUCGGAAAAAUAUCAAUUUGUAUCACACAUCAAAUUGAGGAAGCGGAAUUGAAAUCAAAACCAAAAACUUACCUGAAUCCUAGAAAACUGACCAUAUAUGGAUUCACUGGAUUCAAACAUCAUCAAUGAGGAUGCUCGGGAUCUCUUGGAUGAGGGGCCAAUAGUCGCCAGUGAAUUUUAAGCAUCAAUCUAUCAGAAUCUCACACCCAUCUAUGCGCAAUUCUCAGAGGGAGGGAGGGAGGGAGGGAGCCCAUCCUCUGGCAAGCACCUCAACUUCAGGCAAUCGUGAACGUGUAAAAUUGUGAGAGAGGAAAGAUAGUUGCGAAGAAAGCUUGAUAGUCUUCCCACGUUCCUCAUUUUAAAUAUCCAAAGACAGGUUAGAGAGGAAGGAAAGAGAAGACUACACGCAUCCUCAUCCUCCGAAGGAAACCAUACCUUCUCUCCUUCCCCUCCCAUGCUCAAGUCAAAUAACAGAAACUUGAGGGAUGUGAGCAUGGGUAAGCCCCACUCUCUCACCAUCUGCUUCGGAUUCUCGCACACUAAAAUUGUAAGGUCCAGCAAAUUGAGGCAAAGCUCCUUUGGGGAAGCAUUUGAUAUUUUGGCAAUACAUAAUAUAUAGCAUAUGAAGGGAUAUAAGAUGAUGCCACUGAUUUGGUAGAGCCUUUAUCUUCGGACAGUUACAGAGAAAGAAAUAUGACAAGGUGAUGGGAAGGGAAGGGAAGUACUCUAUCUCCAAUGUUGGAUAGUUACUUAUUUUCAAAAGAGUGAAAUGGGAGAGCGUGUUAAGACACUGUGGUAGGCUUCCCAAAUUUAUACAGCUGUCAUAGAAUUCAGCAAUUCUACAGCAAUCUCUUCCAGCAACUCCACUCUCUUGCAAUGCCCAAUAAUAAGUGUCUUGAGAGAAGCAACUUGAGGCAUCGGAUUAUUGCUAGUGGGGUCAUUUGGAGUAAAUUGUUAAUAAUCCCAUGAGUUUUGGGUACUUCUCAAUUAACAAAUCUAUGAGCGUGUGCAUCUUGCUUGGAAGCUUUUCUAAACUCGCAGUCCCUCAAUUCCAUUGUUUCGAGGUUGAAAGGCAACUCUAUCUCUCCUUCUUCUGCCACAAAAGACGUGAAUUUAGGACAACUUUGGAUGGAUAAUUCCUGGUGGCAAGUAAGAUCUUGUGUUUCAUUUCCAUCUUGCCACAAGUAUGUUAGCUUGUCACAGCUUCUUAUAUGAAGCUCCUUUAGCUUGACCAAACAGCUCAUAAUCUCAUGAUUAAAGCAAACAAGCUCUGCAAGAUUUUGAACCCUGACAAUAGUUAAAGAAGUUAGGUUGACCAAGCACUUUAAGGUCCCUCUAUUACAAUCCUUAAGGUAUAACUCACAGAGAAAUGGAAGACAAACUGCACUAGUUGAAUUAUUCAAAUGCCGGCACGAAUGGAUUUCAAGUUUUAUGAGACAAUCAAGUUGACAAGGCAAUGUCCCAACCAACGAAGGACAACUCCGGACAACAAGAUGCUAAAGACAUGAUAAUGGUACUUCUUCUUCUAGACCCCCGGCAUAACGAGACCAAUCAUUCCAUGCCAACAUCUCUUCAAACUUCAAAGUUGUUAAGGAUGAGAAAGGCCCUUUACCUCCAUAAAAUUCAGAGCCUACCAUUCUUACUACAUGUAGACCAUUAAGACAUAAUUUCUUAAGUAAAGGUAGUUGUCCAAGUUGGGGUAGCGAUAUAACAUUAGGACAGCCCUGUAAGCACAAAGACACUAGCUUACAACAGAAUAGACCAUCCAACCAUGACGGGAAUAUUGCACCACCAUAAUAUGAGAUAGUGAGAUUUUCAAGAUCACUGCGAGGUCACAAAGAGUGAAGCACCUAUGCUUCGUGCUUAUAUUUCCAUAGAUUUCCAAAAUCUUCACUCCAAUGCAAGAACAUGUUGCUAAGGCCUUGCUUUCCAAAAGAAUUAGCAUCAACAGCAUCUCUAGCUUCUUGCACCUUUUGCAAUUCUGAUAUAGCUAAUUCUCCUUGACGAUAGGACAAAUUCUUCAACUCCUUUAACUGUAACCCUUUCUUAGUUCCUACAUCGAAGUUAGGCAAAACAAUAAGAUUUCAAAUUACCAAUACCCAAAGGCAUCGUGUUUAGAUUGUGUGUUUCUCUAAUGUCAAGAAACUGUAAGCUCACCAAUUUUGUGAUACCUAGAGGCAACAUAAAAAGCUUUUGACAACCUCCUAAGAUCAAAGCUUGUAUUUACACAAGGCGACAAUUGAAUUAGCUAGUCUUUUGAUGUCUGUGUAUGAGAAAUUGAGAUAUCAAAGAUGUUUUAAAUCACCACCACAAAUUCAGUACCUCUAUGAUGUCACAAUGACAUAAUGAGACCACCCUCAAGUACUUUACUUCUGUUAGCAAGUCAUACAACGCCUCGUUGGAAAUGUGGAACUUGCUGCCCCCUCUAGAUCCAAUAUGAAGUAGCAUUGAACUUCUUAGUACCUUCAUUCAGUAAGAUGCUCUCAAGCAUUUUGAUGUAACAGACCAUGACGAGAUGAAUGAUGUAUAAGGAGCUUUCACAAGAGAUGCAUGAUCUUCAUUUCCUACUAGCUGAGACUCCCCUGAGCUAAAGCAUGUCCCACCUACAAUUGACUUUGCUAGAUCAUUCAAAAAAUCAUGCAUUGAGAACUUAGAUGCAAUGACACUUGAUUGUUGAAGAAAUUAUCUAGAUACUAACUCAUUGAAGUAAUUCCGUCCUAAUCUCAAGUUAUUCUCCUUUUUAUUUUGUCCAUCUACAAAGCCCUCCUCUAUCCACAAGAGUACCAGCUCAUCCCUCUCAAUUUCGUAAUCCUUGGGAAACACCGCACAAUAAACAAAACAUCUCUUCAAAUAAGAAGGAAGAUUGACAUAGCUCAAAUUCAAAACUAGGAGAACCUCAACAUUUUUUCCCUUCAAAAUAUCCCACAUUCUAUUAUUUAAGAUAACUUUCCAUUCAUCGAGAUCCCCUUUAUUAUGCAGGAGACCACCUAACACCUUCAUCACCAAGGUGAAACUUUACAUUUUUUAGCUAUUUUCUUGCCUAUAGUUUCAAGAUCAAGGUGCCUCUCAAAAUUUGUUGCUCUAAGAGCAUGAAAGGCUAAUAAGCUUGUACAAUUAUCAAUAGACAACUCCUUCAAAGGAUGGGGCAAAGCUCAUGUUAAGGAAACAACCGAACUAUUGCGAGUUGGGAUGAUGAUCUUGCUUCCCUUAGCCCCUGCUUCAAAUGGCUUUAAGAGGGCAGUCCAUUCCCCAUACCCAGACAUCAUCUAAAACCACAAGAAACUUCUUUCUUGAUAGAUUGUCCUUCAACUUAACUUGAAGCUAGUUGAGAUCUUUGUCCUUGCAUGACAACUCAGUGAUCAACCGCAAAAUAGCCUUUGUCAUGUUGAGAAUAUCAAAAACAUCUUAAACACAAACCCAUGCUCUUCUCUCGAAGCAGCUGCUCACGUUGGCAUAACUAUACAGCCGUUAAGCCAAGGCCGUCUUUCCAACACUGCCCAUCCCAACUAUGGGGACUAUGCUCACCAUAGCAUCGGAAUUUUCAGCUUCACCAGUCAAUAAUUUGAGUAUCUCCGCUUCUUCUUUCACCAUGCCAAUGAGUCUCUGAUAGACAAAUGCUAUGGGGCCUUUUGUUGGUGAAGUUAGUUCUACCCACAACUUUCUCUGUCAAGCUUAGAUAAGCCUUCCUGGCAACAAUAUCCUCCAACCUACCAUCAAUCUUCUGAACCUUAGUUUUAGACACAUGUGAGCUCGGGUUUGGAUUGGAUCUGGAAGAUUUAUGUUGGCUAAAGAAAUAGAACUUCACCUCACCUCCACUUGCGCUAGAUUCCGCCUCCGAUUUGGCCGGAGUGGCUUUGAUGGCAAACUCAUCAAGCAAGUCUUCCAUGUCAUAGGCCAGGUCCCCAACAUCAUCCAACCAUAGCUUCACUAGACCAUUAUCACUCAAGUGCUUGUCCUCUGCAUCAUCCAGCACCGCAUUGAUUGUGUCCAACAUCUUCCCCCAUUUAUUGAGCAAGUCGAUGCUGAUUCCGGAGAAGGGCAAUGCUCCUUCCCUUUGCAUAUAGUCUAGUCCCAAAGAAGCCAGCUUCUUGAACAGGACCUAAAGGAAGGCACUCAAAAGGAUCUCCCCAAUGGCCAUGGGGAAAUCCGUCAACUGUAGAGAACAACAGAGGUUAUGGUGAAGAAAAGUGACAAUGAGCUAAUGGGGAGAUAAAACGGGUGAAUGAGUCACUGUAUAUAACAACAAGGGUUAUGGUGAAGUGAAGUGAUGGCAAGCAAGACUUUCACUUCCCAAAAACAUUAAACACAGACCAAGACUUCCAAGGAUACACAUCAAUGUUUAGAGAAAUCAAGAUAAAAUACUUUUUGCCCAAAAGUGCUUCUCUCUUAAUGUUUAGAGUUUAUCCCUAGAUAUCUUAUUUAAAGACAAUGACUUUUUGUUACACAUCUACAAGUUAUCAGAGGCAGCUAACUUUGUAUAUUCAACAACGAAAACAAAACCACGCUCUUUGCACUACAAAUGUACAAGUCAGGCACACCAACUAAUCCAUUAAGCAACUUGGUUUAUUUUAAUCUGGAAACGGUAAAUGAGUUAAAAAAUCACAACGAAUAACGUAUAGUCAAUUGAAUAAUAACUCUCUAAGCAUCACAUUGAUGAACAGGAAAGUCGCGUUCAAUCCCUAUGUGGGAAGGAAACUUCAAUGAAAUCUAGGAAGACCAGGACUUUGCAAUACGCCAAUUGGGUUUGUUGCUUUACUUUUCACAUCCCUCCUUUUCCAUCCCUAUGUGAAUAUCUUCUUCUUCUUUUUUUCUACUGUUUGAUGCUAGAAAUUUAGUUGGUCCAGGAAAAUUAUUUCCACUGAGAGGAAAAGCCACGCCUCAAGAUUGAGGAGAAUAAUUUCAGAUCAUAAAAUCUAAAAUUGCUACUUACCCCUCUCACUAUCGCAGACCAAUUUCAUCAUCAUCCCUCUCCUCUCCUCUGCAAACAUGCGCGAAUGCCACCCUCCCAUUUACCCACCAUCGUCAUCUACCACCAACAUCGAUUACCCAACAGAACCAAAUCGCCAACCCCAUUGAGCCAUCCUUCUUCAAAACUAUUCCCAACCGCAGUAACAAGCACCACCACAGACUCGAUCACCACGACCACCACCGCCACCAUUCACAGCCAGCAAAAAUUCAGGGGGAGAUAAAAAGAAAAAAGAAAGCCAGGGAGGAGGAAAUUUCACCAAUCGGAUGGCCAAGUAAUAAAAAAAAUGUGGGUCGGAGGGGCUUCUCGUGCUCUUCCGCACCUGGUCGCUACCAUUUGACUUUGUAUUCUGUGACUACCAUGGCUGCAGUGUGAAUGAACGGUGUUUAGCUUUUCACGGUGCCGGGCGGAGAAGAAGGGAUAAAAGAAAGUGGUAAGAAGAAGAAAAAGGAGAAUGUUCGACCAAAAAAGUGAUGUAUUUGGCCCAAACCACUUUCCCUGCCCAUAUUAGAGAAUGAGAUCUAAUUUUAUAUCCAAAUAGCAUAAAUUAAUUUUUUUUUUUCAUUUUCAAAUUUCUACCAAACGCCAAAAAAGAAUCAUUUACUCAAAAAUUAAUUCUAAGAAACCAGUUUUUUUUUUUUUUUUGGUUGGUAAGAAACCAAUUGAAAAUACUAAAUUUUCAGUUAAUCAAGUAGAGCCCUUGUUAGUUGAUAAUUGCUUUCUUCAAGUAAUAUCAAUGUUAUGCUUAGAGGCGUAUAUAUGAAAAAUAAACUAAAGACUACUUUAUACCACUCGAAAUAAUAAUUAGGCCCUAGAAUUUUUUUUUUAAUUCCCUUUUUUCGCCAAUUGCGAUCAUCAAUACAAAAAUUUCAUAUCAAUCACAAUCAUUUUGGACUCUUUAAGUUCCACCUAAAGCUUGUUAGUGAGAAAAAAAUGAGAAUAAAUAAAGAAUCUGUGAUGAGAAAAUCAAGUUGCUCCUGUUAAAAAUUAUUUUGUCAUGUAAAUAAACAAUUAUAAGAGUAAUUGGACAAACAAAUUGUAUUCAUACUCACAUGAAAGGAACCAAAAACCUACUAACAAGACAUAUCGGGGUACUUCCUAUUUCAAGUCUCAUAAAUGAGUGACCCUUCAAUCACUUUGUUUUUUUUGUUUUUCUUGAAUGGCCCUUUUGAUUGUGUAAUGUAGAAUUAUGGGAGACUAUAGAUCCCCAUUAUUGCUGACCUAAUGGUAUAACAUGAUCAUUUCAUAAAUGCCAGGUCACAAAGAUAACCCCCUAACGAGGAUAGCGAUGUGUAUCUUAUCUUGCCUGCCACAAGACCUCACUUGAUUUGGUGUGCUUCUUGUAAUUGGACUUGUCUAUGCAAAAUAAAUCUGUAGCAAGUGGUAUUGGAUGACAACCUUCUCACAAUUCUAUAUCGGAAUACCUUAUGGUAGGGGUGAGCUUUUUUAUGACAACUCAAUAGAGCAAUAACGCAUUUAAAAAAAAAAAAAAAAAAGAGGGAAAUAAAGCAUGGCCACCUUGAAUGCUACUCUCCACCCUCCCUUUACAACAAAGAAAAAGAAAAUGCGGGACUGGGAUCGAUAAAACCGUUGGUAUGAGAUUAUGUGGAAAAUUUAAAUGGGUUAUAAUCUUCAGGCUUACUUUGAAUUUAGCUGUUAGAUUCACCAACUCGAGAGUCCCUGUUUUCGCAUCUUUAAAAGUAGCUGCUGUUUAAAAAAAAAAAAAAUCGCUGCCGAGAGGUUCUUCGAUUGGCUUUGAACACCAUCAUACAGAUUAAUCUUAAUUAGAGCACGUUACCGCCAUUGAUGUAAGUAAUCAAACAGUGGAGAGAAAUUUUCUCAUGAGAUCCAAACUCAAUCAAUUUCAUUGAGUGUGAUUUCUUGGAUGAGAUACCAAUAAUCUCCGGUUAAUUUUCAAGUAUUGAUAUUUUGGAAUCUUACUCAAUGUGGAAUACUUAAAGGGGCAGGUAGGGGAGCCAUCCUCUCACUUAGAUCUCUAUCUUAAUUUAUGAUGGAGGUAUCAUAUUUAAGUUUUCGAAAUCUGAACUUAUCUCACGAACAUUUUGAACUUGCCUAAAGUCUCUCGGUUUCAUGAGUUUCAAGCUACCCUAUGCUACCGCAUUGAAAAUGGAUGGUAAAAUGGAUUUUCAAUUAAGUAAGCUAGAACUCAAAGUUUUGUUUUAUUCUAAAUAAUUUCACCACUGGUUUUGAGCAUCUACAAAAAGAGAAGAUAUAUAUCCUUUUAUAUUUGUGGGCAGUUGGGACACAUAAAUUAAACUAGAUUUGCAUUAUACUCUCUUUUUUUUUUACUAGAUUUGCAUGGAUUCAAAAUCAUAAAUGCUAAGAUUAUAUCUCGAAUUUGACCUCAAAAAAGAAAUCUAAUUCAAAUAAACUUUCUGAUUUGAGUGGAUUUAAUAAAAGGGAAAUAAUUUUUAUGUACAAAGUGGGUCUUCUUCAUGAAAAGUAUCCAACACUAGCUUUUCCUACGUUCAAUUAAGUAUUACGUUCCUAAGGAAUUACAAAGAGUACUGAAGCAAAUUAAUUUUGUGGUAAGAUCUGUGCAUAACAUCACCAGAGGAGGAGGAGGACACUUCACUCCAAUUCCAACCAACCAAAACCCCCACGAAACUGGGAGACAACAAAAUAAAAUAAAAACAGAAGCCAUCGGAAUUUUCGAGGAAAUUAAAGUUGAAACCUUUUAUCUCUAUUUUAAUGGCAAUCCUUACAACCCUCUCCUUCUCCGAACUGCCCUCCCCGAAGAUCCCACCUUUCUCCUCCAUCUCCCACUCCCCUGCUUGACGUGACGGUGGUGAUGAAGUUGUUGUGGGUUUAACUGGUUAAGUGGCGAUGGGUAUAAUUUAAUUCAUGCCGCAGUAGAUUGGUCCUCUUGGCCGAUCGUCUUUGCUCGUACUCAUCUGUGAUUUAAGUUGAGCUGAUCUGUCACCUGUCCGGUCUAGUUGAAGUUGCACAAGUAGAGAUAUGAAUGUUCUUCGAGCAUUGUAAAAUACCGUUCGAGUGAAGUGAAACCUGCUGAAAUAUUCAUUUGAUGGGCAAAUAUGUGCUGCUUCUUGGUUGUGUGGAGUAAAUGCAAGCGCAUCAUCUCAACUGCUCAAUCUUUUCGAACAUGAAAAAUGUGUGGGCCUGUGAAGUGAUGGAGCUUAACAACUUACGUCGGAAGUGGACUCCUCAUUGAAGGGUCACUGACCUGAAGUGGCUUUUUUCUCUGUUAUUCAUUUUGGCAGCUGUCGAAUUCUAGUCAGGAACAUGAUUUAGCUUGUUACGAUCAUUUCUCGAACAUUAUCCAUAAAACCGAUGCUGCUUCCCUAAUGCCACUACUGCUCUGAUGCCGUUUUUCCUUUUAUCUGUUUUCGUUGAUAAUCCAGGGGCAGGAAAUGGCAAUACGUUGACAGAAAACAAUGACAGAGAAACAAGCACUUCCAGUAAAAAUGUUCUUCGCAAGGAAAAAAGCUAUACAAGUUCAAUAAGUUUUUUGGGGUCGACUUGUCCCCAGACAAUAUUGCAGUUGCGAUGGUCUAUUUUGUUCAAGGUGUCUUGGGCCUUUCAAGACUCGGCUGCAUUUUUAUUCGAAAGAUGAUUGACAUCUAGAUCGAUCCUUCAGAGGUAUGUCGUUGUAUUUGAAGGAUUUUUAAUGAAAAAUCAGAUCUCCUUUGAGAGCAUUCAAUUUGUAUGUUCCAGCAGUCUGAAGAUAGAAACUCGUGCCCUUUCCCUCUGAUAGUUUUUAUGCCUCUUUACUUUCCUUAAUACUUGAGAAGAUUCUUGUAUCUAUUUUUUAUUUCUAGGGGUAUUAUUCACGAACUAGAUGGUCGUUGCUGCAACUCCGUUCCACUUUCUGGUUACCGAAGAAGAUCAUUACUUGGUUUUAUCAAUGAGCUGUUCAGUUGUAAUUAAACAAACCCAACACCAUAUCAAUGAGCUAAAUAUUAUCGGUCGUGUAUAAGCUGGUUGCAGCAAAUCCAAGCGCAGCUUCUAUAAAGCGUUUGAUCAGCACAACAUGUUGAGAUUUGACAAAAGUAAGUCGACAAACAUACUGUAAAAUGUCUCAGAUCAAGCACGCACUACAAAAUCAGAUAUGAAAAUCAAAUAUGCAUGUCAAUACGGUACAUGUAUGUGAACGAGAUCAUCACAAAGCAACGUAGCAAGUUCAAAACAGUCACACAGGCUCAGUCAUAAUUGAUUUUUACCCAGGCAGUGGUUUGUACGUAGAACACCAGGAAACAGAGCAUAUGUGAUUCGAUUGGAUAGAGGAUGAUUACCUGUGGCUAUUCUAUUCAUGAUCGGACCUUAGUAAGGUGAUCGUGGAAGCAGCUUUGUGAACUGGAAUCGUCAAGAGAGACAUGCUGACUGCAGUUCGAGCACUUCAGCAAUGAUGACCGAGAACAGGGGCGAACAGAGCUUCGGACAGCGACGGCCGGUGUGUGCCCACGGUGUCCGGAGGGCGAUAGUGAGGGAAAGUCGAUAAGGAAGCCACUGGAGAUACAGAAAAGGGCCGAGAAUAGAUGCUGUUGCUUGAAUUGAAAAAUGAAAUCCAGAGAAUGAGAGAGAACUUAUCUUCAAUAUUGUAGCAGUAACCGAAUGAUGAAGAGCUCGAAGUGAAGAAUCCGAGUUCUAUCUGUCACGACUAUUCUCCUCCGUCGGAGAACGAAAGUGAUAGAAACCGAAGGUGGAGGCAGUGACAAAAACGAACGAUAAUGAAAUCGUCAAGGGAGGCAUUUUUUUUUUGUCAUCUUGGUGCUAGAUGCAAAUUUCUUGCUUCAAUUAGUAACCAACUCCAAAAUUAUUCAGUCACAAAAAUAAAAUAUAAAAUAUGUAUUGAAAAAGAAAGUAAAAGCCCCAGAUUUUUCUUUAAUUCCCUGGCUUUCGCUAAUCGCCAUCAUUAUCAAUCAACACAAUUUGAAUCAUGCUGUCAUUUGUAUCGGAGACUCUUCAACAAGAAGAACAACCUAUGGCACGAGAUGAACAUAAGAAAAUUUAAAAAAUCCGAAAAGGAACAAUUAAUUAAAAUUAUCUUUCAUACAUAAUAAAGAGCUAUGAGAGUGAUCAGACAAACAAAAUUAUAUGUAACGGUAAUAGAAAGGGAGGAGAUAUGCCAAAUAGGGUAUGCAUUGGUUGAACCACAAAAUUUCUAGUUACACCAAAGGAGCCCAAAUCAAUAUGGCGUCAAACUUUCGACCCAAAAAAAGAAAAAAAAAAUGGUGUCAAACUAAUCAAUCAAAAGAAAAUCUGUGUAAUAACUAAAAUAAAAAUCAUUUGGGUGGUGAUCCCAACAAUGUAAAUCAAGAAAACACCACUAUAUUGUACCAGCAAAUUAGAGGGACUACUCUUCUUUCCCCCUCAAAUAGUUCAUCUUACAAUCUUGUGCCAAACUUUCUGAGUAUAUCAUAAAAACGAUUGCUAGUUGCUAGUUUCUUGGUUUUGCAUUUUUUGAAAUAUGUGGUGGAUGAAGGACCGCAGCAAAACGACACCGGCACACCUCUUUUCCCGUGUAGAUAUUCCUCCAUACUAUUUUCAUACUCAACUUUUUAAAUUAAAAAGAAUUAUUUUCUUUUUUAUUUGAUUUUCUGAUUGACUAAAGUAAGUUCCUUUGACAAGCUUUUUUUAUCAUACUAAAUAGCGAAAAAUGAAAACAACAUUUUUUUUUUAUUAAAAUGUUUCUCUCAAAACAAACAGAAUACUAGAAGAAGACCAUUUCAAAGAUCGAUCAUAAAAUAAUGCCGGGUGACAUCCCUCCCGAUAUUUGUUAUAUUGCAUAUCAUCAUCUUAUAACCAAAACUUUUUUAAGAAUUCAUUCUCGUUUAUACAAAUUCUAUCAAAAUUACUCAUAACCAAUGUAAAGGAUCCUAAUAAAACACUGAGCCAAAAAUGUCAAGUCUCUAAAAAAGAAGAAUCAAGCUCCAUACACGGAGAAAAGAUUUUCUGUAACAAUUAAGAAAAUCAAGCUCAUACACGGAGAAAUGAUUUUCUGUAACAAUUAAGCCUCUUCAAGAAUCUCUUCAUCUUCAAAUGUCAGAUAUUUUCAGACCUGAAAAUAAUUGUUCGCAUGUUAGAUCUUGUCCAGUAGACCGUGAGUGUCCUAUUCCCGAAAGACAACUAAAAAAUUAAAUGGUGGGCAAAAUUUACCCCUCAAUUCGCAAAUGAAGAAGCGGUUAUGGUUCGCUGCAGAUCCUACUCGGUCAAAGCCACAGACUACCAGGACAACCUCAAUUUUUCCUCCACAAAUGUCAACAUCAACCUCAAUUCGCAGCAGCUCCAGAUCAAAAGUCUCUGCUAAUAGUAGUUCGUGAGACAGUGUCUCAAGCAGGGUCUGACGAUGAAGAAGUAGAAAAACAGUUUCGCUCCUCAACAUGGAAAUGAUUGUCAUGGCAAAAACCUCAUAAUGCAGGCAAUAACUUUGUAAUGUAACAUAAGUGUCCAAUAAUAGAACUCAUGUAACAGUAUUCCUCAAUAUUGUAUAUCAUGGAAGCCUUUUGGAUCAAAUUCCCUUCAUUUGCCUGAAUUCAAGGUAUAUCUUCAACAUGUGAGCUCACAAGAUUGAAACCAUUUGCAACGGUAGUGCGUUUAUCUUGUCACGUCUGAAUGGUUCUGGACCUUCAGCACCUCGAUGGGGGUAAAUCUGGUGGGACUUGCCCACUUCAAGGAGUUAAUCAUGAGUGGUGCUAAGUGACGAUCUUCUUGGAAUCAGAAUAUCUCAUAGCAGAUGUAAGUCCUCAAAGAAACAUCCAGAGGGUAGCCAUGGCUAUCGAUCCUCCCUCCCAUUCCCCGUCCUGCAUAGGAAAUAUAAUAUGUAGGACCGCUAAAAAUGUUGCAAAGAGAUGGGAGUGGAGUGGGUAUUUGAAUAAAAGAAAAAUGAAAUUUAGUCUUGACCAGGCAACCAGUUUACUAACAUGUUUUGACCUGCAGGGCUCAUUCAGCAUUUAGCUGUCACAUUCGCUUGCUCAAACCUCUGAUUUCAGUUCUGUUUGUCCAUCUGCACCGUAGCAGUUGGGAGAAAGAAAGCUUCUUAUUUUCAAUGAUGAUCUGAACAUGGUAAAAGGAUAUUAUCUAACAAAUCCAGAUAUUUAUAUGGAAUUUCAUUAUGGUAUUUUUUUUACUACGCAAGGCCUACAUUAUAAUUAGUCAACGCAAUUCUGUACUUAGAGUUGAAUAUAAAGUUUUGUUGACCGUGAUAAUAUUUUCAUAAUUAAUUCUCCUGAAUAGUGCAAAGAAUGAAAAUAGGAAAAAUAUAUUCAUACAAAAAUAGAUUGUCUUGCAAAAUAAUUUACCAUGCUAAAAAGAUUCUUUUGCAAAUGAUUAAAUCAUUUUACUAUGUAUGGGAAAGCUGACUUCCACGGCGACAGAGUGUCAAACUUCUAGGGGCACAACAAAUGAACCUAUUGCUAGAACAAAAUGUGCAAGAAAGCAUAAAUUAUACCAGGAAUACAGUCCCAACCGAGUUCUUAAGCUAUUGCGAAUGAUACUGCACACUUAAUGUCAAAACUUCAAUUCAUCCUUCCACGAGUCCUUAUCAAGUAUGUAUGACAAACGCGGGCCAGGGUAAUAGUGAGUCUAUCCUAUACAUUAGCAGCAAUCCUCUCUUCAUCUUUUUUGGCUUUCUCUAUGUAGCUAAGCCUCAUUUUCAGUUUUGUAAGGUAAUGGGAACCCAAUGAACCACUCUCAGUUGAUGCUAAUAACUAGAUUCACUUGAUAUAACAAAAACUGGAGUACCUUCCUAUUGUCCUGAAAAUUCCCAUGGAUAGGUGCCACCUUGCCUUGUGGAAUCACCCAGACCUCAUCUGACCUUCCAGCCAUUAGAUGCUUAUCGUGACUAAGCUACUCAAGGUGAAAGGAGGGCUAUUAGCUGUGAAAAUGAUCCAUGGUUGGUCAAAUUGAAGUAUUUUGACAACAAAAUCAAUCUCACCAUCUCAAUUGCUCCUUAGAACAAGACCAGACCUUGAAUGAGCACCUCAGCCACAUCCAAAUCCUCCAGUUGUGGAUAGGCAAAACAACAGAGUUGCACUCACUCAUCCUUGGACAACAAACUAACAAUUUACAAAGAUAAUUCUUUAGUAGUCACUACUCAUUAAAGCAGAGUUUAAAGACCACAUUUAUAAACAGAGCCCAAUACAAACUACAGGCACAGAUAUCAGAACUCUUUGGUAUUACAGAUUAGUCCAAUACGAAAAAACUGAUCAGGCUAACUAUUCAAUUCCAAAUAUUUUCCAAGUUGAAAUGAUUAGAUUGGUUUCUGUUCCAUUAUAAGUUAGAUAUAUGAUGACAGAGAGGCUCUCUAUAGUUGUUAUCAUUAAUUGAUUCUCUUGUAUUUUCAAUGUAACAUUAGAUUCCGAUAAGUUCAAAUUAGUACAAGAACAACAAUAGGCUAACUGAAAAGUAUUUGAAGUCAUAAAGUGGACAAAAAGAGCAGACUUACCAGAUGAUUGGAUGGCUCAUCAAGCAAAACUAUGUGAGGCUUUUUCAAAGUUAUCUUGGCAAAUGCAACUCUGCCUUUCUGAGCACCUAUUUAUAUGGUCAAAGCACCAUGUUACAUGUGCAAUAACAUCCAAAAAGCCUCAGAGUAGUACAUAGUGAACUACACUUGAGAUUGCAAAUUGACUAACCUCUAUUAGGGCUUCACAAUGUCAUAAAACAAUUGCUUCAAAAAUAAUUUACAUAUGCAACGGUAGCGGAGAGGGAGGCAAUGUAUCAUAAAGGUAUACAUUGGUUGAAGUGCAAGAUGUCCAAUUACACCAAAGGAACACAAGUGAGCUCGAAGCUUUUCGAUCGAAAAUCCCUGCAAGAAGAAUGCUACAUAAGAAGGCAUUUGCAGAUAAAACGACAUGAUGUAUAACAAAAUCAUAUUCCGCGAUGGAGUAAAUGCAAACAACCAAUACUUUAAAGACCUGAAUAGAUUUGCCCCAGAGGUCACUGCUAAUAAUGCAAACACAAAGGCAGGCAACAUAUCGUUACAAUCUCAACCAAAUAAGCACGAGUAUAUAGGCUAAAAAUUUCUAGCAAGCUGUAAACACAAACAGAAUGGUGAUCUAUGGAAUAUCAAUGCUAUCAUGAUGGAGUUGUAUUAAAAGCUCGGAGCAAUAAGCUACCCCAGAAAUGUGUCCCAAAUAGAUUGCUUAAUACUACAAAGGAUCAUCAUAAAUAAAAAUAAAAAAAUAAAAAAGGGUUCUCGAUUCUAAAGAAAACCAUUGAAAAAAAAAACAAUGAAUGAGCUAGGACACAAGAAAAAGAUGGUGGGAAGAGAACAUACAAGAAACGCUGAAAAUGCAAAGACAUAUGAUUGUGGAAUGCUAUAAUUCUUCGUGAUAGUGCAUCUUUCUUCACAGUUUGUUUAAGCAUCAAGUAGAGUUGAAGGUAUGCCAUCAAUAUAGCAAGAGGCAGCACUGAGUGAAUUUCGACCUAAAGUUUAUUGUCCAACGAAACAGAGCUGAUCCAACCCAACAAGAAAUCCCGCUCAAAUGUCAGUCUUUGACUUUCAGUGGUAGAGCUUGCCUACAUCCUAAGAAUGGGUUUUGUCGGCCAUGAUAAUAUUUUCAUAAUUAAUUCUCCAAAAUAGUGCCAAAUAGUGAAAAUGGGGAAAAUAUAUUGAUAUAGCUUUCUCACAAAAUAGAUUUGUCUUACAAAAUAAUUUACUGUGCUAAAAUAUUCUUUUGCAAAUGAUUAAAUCUUUUUAGUGUGCAUGAGAAAACUGACUUCGGUGGCAAUAGAGUGUCAAACUUCCAGGGGCACAGCAAAUGAACCUAUUGCUAUAACAAAAUGUGCAAAGAAUCAUAAAUUAUACCAAGAUUACAAUCACAACUCAGUUCUUAAGCUAUUGCAAAUGAUACUGUAUGCUGUCAAAAACUUAGACUCAUCGUUCCACAAGCCCUUGUCAAGUAUAAAUGACAAAUGAGGGCUGGUGUAAUUGUGAGUCCGUCCUGUAUAUCAGCAGCAAUCCUCUCUUCAUCCUUUUUUGCUUUCUCUAUGUAGCUAAGCCUCAUUUUUUGUUUUGUGAGGUAAUGUGAACCCACUGAACCACUCUUAGUCGAUGGCAAUAACUAGAUUCACCUGAUUCAAUAAAAAUAGGAGUACAUUCCUAUAGUCCUAGAAAUUCCCAUGGAGAGGUGCCACCUUGCCUUGUGAAACCACCCAGACCUCAUCCAAGCUUCUAGCUAUUAGAUGCUCAUCAUGACCAACCUGAAAAUCAAGGUGAAAAGAGGGCUAUUAGCUGUGAAAUGAUCCAUCAUUGGUCAAAUUGAGGUAUUUUGACAAGGAAAUCAAUCUCACCAUCAGAAUUAAUCCUUGGAACAAGACCAGACCUUGAAUGAGCGCCUCAGCCACAUCCAAAUCCUACAGGUGUGGAUAGGGAAAAAAAAAACAAAAACACUAAUCAUUAGACAAGAAACUAACAAUUUACAAAGAUAAUUCUUUAGUCACUGGUCAUUAAAGCAAAACUUAAAGACCAGAUUUACAAACAAAAAGGGGUCCACAUAUUUGUAUGUAAAGCCCAAUACUGCCUAUAGGCAUAAAGAUCAGUACCAUUUGGUAUUGUAGAUUGCUCUCUUCUGAAUAUUUUCCACAUUGGAACAAUUAGAUUGGUGUCUGUUCCAUUAUUUGCUAGAUGUAUGAUGACGAGGGUUACCAGCAGCUAUGACCACCAUUUGGUUCUACUAUAUUUUUAAUGUAAAAACCAUAUUCCGACAAGUUCAAUUAGUGCAAGAACAAUAACAAGCUAACUGAAAAAGUAAUCAAAGUCAUAAAAUGGAGAAAUAUGAGUAGAACUUACCAAAUGAUAGGAUGGGUCGUCAAGCAAAACUAUGUGAGGUUGCUUGAAAGUUAUCUUGGCAAAUGCAACUUUGCUUUUCUAACCACCUAUUUAUGUGGUCAAAGCACCAUGUUAUAUGUGCAAUAACAUCCAAAAAGCCUUGGAGAAAGUACACGGUGAACCACAAUUCAGAUUACAAAUUAUCUAACUUUUAACAGAGCUUCACAAUGUCAUAAGAACAUUGCUUCAACAAAAAAUUUAUACAUGCAAUACUAGCACAGAGAGAGGAGAUAUACCAGGCAAGAUACAAAUUGGUUGAAUCACAAGAUUUCCAGUUACUCCAAAGGAACCCAUGUCAGCUCGAACAUUUUGUUAUGGAACUCCUUUUGGGAAGAAUGCCACAUGGUCACCGCUGAUGAUGGAAACCCGAAGGUAGGCAGCCUAUCAUAACAAUCUCAACCCAACAAGCAUAAGUAUAUUUGCUAAAAAUUUCUAGCAAGCUGUGAGCAAUAGUUCCUAAACCACCAGAAUUCGAGACCCAACCAGAAAGCGAUUUAUGGAAUAUCAAUGCUGUCACGUGAAAGCUUGGAGCCAUGAGCUGCCUCGGAAUUUUAUCCCAGAUUGACUAUUUAAUACUACAAAGAAUCAUCAUAAAAAAGGAAGAAGAAGGUUCCUAUUCUUAAGAAAUCCAUAAAAUGAAAAAACCGCAUCCAUUUUCUUCACAAUCACAUCAUAGCUUCCACAAAAUUAAUCAUCCUUUUAGAUUUUGAAAAAGAUUUGUUCUUAUUUAGAUCAUAUUCACCAGAAGGAAAAUUCAGAACAUAGCAGUGCAAUAAAUAUAUUUAAUUGCUUCUUCCUUUAUUGAUAAAUUGCAAAAGAAAAAAAAAUGAAGCAAGACAAUGACACCAACAGCAUUAGCCCUACCUUAGCAGCGUUCGCACGUGAUCAUUCCAAGAGAUUCUGCCAAUGCAAGAUCAAAAUGGUAUCUGCAAAACAACCAGAGUGAAUGAGCUUAAGGGCCCAAGAAAAAAUAUGUUGGGAAGAGAACAGACAAUAGACGCUGAAAAUGCAGAGGACUAUGAUUGUGGAAUGCUACGAUUCUUCGUGACGGUGCGAUUUCAUUCACAAAUGGUUUGGGCAUCGAGCAGAAAUGAGGAUAUGUCGUCAACAUAGCAAGAGGCAGCACUGCGAGCGUUUCAUCCUACAGUUCAUCGUCCAACGAAACAGAGCCAAUCCAACCCAACGCAAUCCCCCACCCAAACAUCAAUUCGUAUUGAGCAUCGAAUUGAGAAAGUAGAAUGGAAAAGGAUGCCUUCAAAACCAAAAAUAACUUACUCGAACCCUAAGAAAACUCACUGUAGUGUAGAUGCACGAAUCAAUUCAUUGGAUCCGUUUUUUAUCAAUGCUGAUGUAAGGGAUCUCUUCGAUGAGGGGCCAAUAGUCGCCAGUGAGUUUUGCGCAUCGAUCUUUCAGAAUCUCGCAUCCAAAUAUCCACAAUUGUUGGAGAGAGGGAGGGAAGCCAUCCUCUGGCAAGUACCUCAACUUGGGGCACUCUCUAAUAAAAAACCAUUGAAGAGAGGAGAGAUGGUUGCGGAGACCGCUCGAUAGUCUUUCUGUGUUUCUCAAAUGAUUUAUUGAAAGAGAGGUUAGAGAGGAAGGAAAGAGACUCCAAGCAUCCUUAUCCUCCGAAGGAAACCACUCCUUCUCUCUCUCCCCUCCCAUGUUAAAAUCAAUGGUCAGACUCUCGAGAGAUGUGAGCAGGUGUAAGCCCCACUCUCUCACUGGCUGCUUCAGAUCCACGAGCCCCAUAAUUCCAAGGACUCGCAAUUUGGGAGGCAGACCUCCU
rnacentral:lncRNA from 1 species